rnacentral:lncRNA from 1 species
UAGGCACUUGCAAAGUAUCCCCGUUGUAAUAUCUAGACCAAUCUCUGCCAGUAAAUUAAUGUGAUAUUUCCCCUGGUUUGAUCAUUGUUCUUGUAUUUGUGACUUCCUCUUAUGUAAGUAGAGGUUGUGUAGCUAUCAAUUAUUUAUCUGUUUUGGGUGCUUUUGUCGAGGUACACGAGCUAUUGAUGAACUGGAAUCGUAUGCAGUUUAUGGUAGUUCUGUAUUUGGGCUCAUCAUGUUCCACGUAAUGCUUAGUGACCCGGAUAUUCAAAAUGGAGCAUGAUAAAAAUCCCAACAUAACAAACUAGAAACCGAAAUCACUAAUUGAUUGCAACCUGUGAGUUUUCUCUUUCUUCUAGAUUUGUUUAUUCAAACAUUUUAUCUAUUAAACCGUACGUUCAAAUCUCGCACCGCUUUCAUAGUUGGAUUCCUUGCGUCAAGUGUUUCAAAGCUAUAACCUAUGUUGGUAGGUUUUAAUGUGCUUUCAUUUUCAAGAAAAAAAUCAGUAGUAAAAACCGGACAAAAAAUUGAACCGGGAGCAUACUUUUUUCCUUUAUGAAAGAGGCAUGGCCGUGCGUCUCGUGAAAUCACAACCGUGUCUCUCACGAAAGAAAAAAAAUAAAAUAAAAAACGUAUUUUUUUUGUUUUUGAGAGGCACAGUUCGCGAAAGCACAACUAUGCCUCUCGCUGAAGUAAAAUCGUGCCUCUCGCGGAAGGAAAAGAAAGCAGAAAACAUGUUUUUUUCGUUUUCGAGAGUGUGCCUCUCGCGAAAGCAAAACUGUGCCUAUCAGGGAAACAAAAUCGUGCUUCUCAGGAUGAAAAAACCCAGAAAACACGCUUUUUUUGUUUUCAUUUUUGAAAGGCUCAUUCGUGCCUCUCGCGAAAGCAAAACCGUGUCUCUCGCGGAAAUAAAACCGUUCCUAUGAUAGAAGAAAAAAAACAUGUUUUUUUCGUUUUUGAGAGGCAUGGUUGUGCUUCUCUCAAAAGCAAAAACGUGCCCCUCGCAGAAGCAAAAUCGUGCCUCUGGUGGAAGAAAAAAAACAUGUUAUUUCGUGCAAAAUAAAUUUUAUUUCUCAAAAUUUUUUGUCCCAAAAGCUAAGGAAGACCGGUUGAAAACCAAAACAUCAAAAAAAUCCAGAAAAACCCGUUUAAUAAGUCGAAAACCCGUGCAAAAAAAUAUUCGAAUGAAGCGCCCAGAGCGCGACACGUGGCGGGCGGCUGAGAGCGCCCCAAGUGACGCUAAUCGUUGUGAGGCUCCGAAGGAGCAUUUGUCAACUAGUUGCUCCCAUUAGAAACGUUUCUGGAAAAACCAAAGUAGAAACCUCAUCUACCUCUCGCUCGCGUCAUCUCUUCUAGGAGACCCAGGGGCCCCAAAACCUAGUGUCGCCAGGCCCAUCCAUCAACUGCUCCCCUCCCAUCGCUGCUAGCGGCCUUUGCUGCGGUGGUGGCGGCCCCAGUUCCUCAAGGGGAUGGGGGACCUCUGACGGUAGCUUAGGGCUUGGUGGAUCGUGGGUCCCGAGGCGGUGGUUUCGUUUUUCGCGGCGACGGUAGCUGCUAUGGCCGCUAGAACGGUGUGCUGGUCAUGCUUAGGCGUCGGUGUCAGCGUCGUUGCUUUCGGGGGUCGCCUUGAAGAGCAUUGGAUCCUGUUUGUGCGCUUCAUGGCUGGACGCUUGCGGCAUUGUGGCUGACAAGUGUUCGUAUGUUGUGUGACUUCUUGUCUGGCAAUGAUGGCGACUUCGGGCGGAAUUGGGCUGUAAUCGAGCUUUGGUGGUCGGUCUCAUCGGAUGUGUUCGAGGGGUCGCCGUGCAUCAUUUGUCUUCCUGAAGUCAGAGCUACAAAGACGGUGCCCCACGGUGAUGAUAACAUGAGACGGGUGGUCGGUUCCCAUGCCGGCUCGGCGUAGGCUCAACGCUUUUCCCCUGCAAUGCUCAUCGACAGAGUUGGAGUUGUAUGUUCAUCGGCGCGUGCGAUUGACUGUUUGGCAUCGGCCGCCCAGGCGUCUGUGCUUGUUUGAGGUGGGGGCUACAUCGGUGGUCAUUGAUGGUUGAGUCGGAGUCGUCCUCACGAAGGAGUAAUAACGAUGACACUGAAAUGCAACCUCGCCGGCAUUUGUCUCCUCGAUGGUGCGUGUGCAUUCUUGUAUGGAUUGCCAGGUUACCCCGUAUGCCUUGUUUUUGCAGGCAUAAUGUAACAGAUUUGCCCUAUUUUCCAUUAGUUAGUCGGGCAUCUCUCUUCUUGCUUGAUGAAUUCUAGACCCUUGGGACCGGCUUAAAAAAAUGUAGCUUGAUCUCAUAUGUACCCAGAUGAAUCGGUGGAUCACUGAUUUUGCCUUUUUCGUAGAGGACUACGAAUAUCAGUUCUUCAUUAAAAUGCGUAUAUAGUUUUUUUUAGAGUACGCCUAAACGUAUCAUAUUUUAAUAGAAGGCAGAAGACAAAUAUAAAAAAAUACAACUUGUUACGAAUAACAAGUGUAGUUGAAAAUCUACACCCAAGCUAAUCAAACGAUUAGUCACCGCAACUAAUACAAACACAACACAAAGGGGCAUGCCCUAAACAGAUCGUCAAGCCACAUCUUGACAUGCACCAGACACUUCGAAGAGCAACAAUUUCAACGGAGCUUUUUCCUUGUCUGCGCACCAACCACCCUUUAAUGCCUAAGAGGAGACUACGAGUGGGUAGUGGCAUUCAGCCGGACCCGAGAAAGCCAUCGUCUUGGACUCACUGGCUGUUGCUUAAGCGCCCAUGAAGAUCAACUCAAACCAGCGACAAGCACCGGAGAACCAGUGCAAAGAACCUCCAAGUCAUGUCUUCAUAGACGAUGCUCCCAACAGAGUAACGCCACCAUCGCCGGUCCGGCAACGAACCUAGGCUUUCACUCGGAGACAACAAUUCGCUGAGAGGAGUGAUGGCGACACACCCUAAAGACGUCUCCAAGGAGGGAGACGAUACCGACGGGCGCCGUCGCCGCCAACACCAAUCGAAGAUGUGCACGAUUUUCAUCCGUAACGUCGUAGAUCUUCCCCCAUCCCAUUGGAUUGCGGCCAUAUUGUGCAUGUAGUGUCACAUAGCUGCCGCCGCAACACCUCGUCAUCGUGGCCAUAGCGCGGCGAAGCACCAACACCCCGCACGGCGGAGGAAAUGCAUUCUGAUAAGGACAUCUCUGCCACAGUUGCACCCACCGUGAUUCCUACAUCAGUUAUUUCAUCUAGACCUAUGACUAGAGCACGCGCGAGACAGAUAAAUGGCUAGAUACUAUCGCUUCUCUGUACAUAUGAUUUAACUAACGAGAAUGUGAUAUUACACUCAUGUUCGGAUUUACUUGUACUUAGGAACGAAGGUGUUGAAGAGAUGACGAGGGAAAGCCGCAUGCAAAUGAAAGAUGGAAAAUGUUGCAUGUUGAUUCCACAAGCAGCAACACUAUUGACAUGCAAGAAGCUAUCUAGCCACCUACGUGCUCAAGUGCAACAGGAGGAGGAAGAGUAUUAGGCCUCCUGGACCAGAGACGGCCACGUUCGCAUGCAGCCCACACCACUAACAGUUAAACAAGGAAAUCAUCUACAUGUGGGCCGGCUCAUGAUUAUGAUCUCCUUCGAGUCGUAGCCGACCAGGAUUCAUCCACGCGCAGGCGGUGGACGCGCCUAAUAAAUAGUUAGCUUGUAUUACGUUUAGACUCGAGUUUUAUUGUAUUGUUUAGCCAUCGCUAUAAUUUCGCAUCUACGAGAUGUGUGAAACUACCGUCUUGUCAGAUCCGUAGUGAAACCCUAACUUUUGAUCUAGUUCGUGUGCUUAAUUUUGAUCUAGUUUAUGUGCUUAAUUUUUCAUCCGCAAUUUCAGAUUACAAUUCACCUUUAUUCUUGUUGGUUCUUCGGUUGCUUGCUGGAACUCGAACCUCGUUAUUCAGGUUGAUCGUGCCUACGACAAUCUCAAUAACUAUCGGAGAUUGGUUUAGCGAUUGUCGCGGCGUUUCGUCGGGUACGGUAUAGCUGGAUCGUCAACGUCAAAAUCCAUCAAAUUGAUAGUUAUCCCCACUCUUAUCGAAAGAUCGGGCCGCCGUCACAUCAAGUGGUAUCAGUUUUUGGGUUUAUCAGUGAGAGAUUUACAGUUUUAGUAGAUUAGUUUAUUUUUCCGUCCUAUAAACCCACGAAAAAGCCAAAAAAGAUUAAAUUAGUUCAUCCGCCGCACCUAUCUUUUUAGCCUUUAGCAAUUUUUGCAAUUUGCGUAGUUUAAUUUUUGGUUGCAUUCAUCCUAGAAUUAGUGCUGGUUUAGAUUAGUUGGGGAAGAAAAUCAUUUACUAGAUCAAUCUGCUUUUGUCCACCCUCAUAUUCUCUAUCGCAAUGCGUUCUCAGUCAAAAAAAAGAGACAUAUAGCGAACCAGGCACUAAUUUCCAUUGCAGAUUCCCGCACGUACAUCGACCCAUCCAUACAGGCUUUCUGUUUCGCGAGCGGCCAGACAACCCGGCACAUUGUGUUUGCUGCCUCGCGCCGCAUCACCACAGGCUAACAUGCCAGCCGCCGGACAUCCCACGCUGGUUGUCCGACUCCACGCGUGCCACCACAAAUCUCCUCCGGCUAUUCCUGUGCAUUACACACUAGUAGUACUACUCCUAGCUAAUCUCGACUCUAAUACACUUCUAACUACUCCUUAGGCUGGUCAUAAUGGGCAAGAACAUAAGCUAGUAACUUCACACUUCUCUAGACUAUGUUACUACCACCAUAGUGGGUAGGAACAUCUAUGUAGUGUCGUGCAACGAUGUAUUUAUUAGGUUAUAGACUCAUUGUUUUUUGGAGUGUGUGAUGUUCCGGUAACUUAGCUAGUUACCACAAGCACCUCUCUCUUCACUAAAUACGUGCCACAUAAGCAAAGUUGUAUUGGAGUGUGUGAUGUUACUCAUAAAUUCCUCCCCACUGUGACCAGCCUUAGCACUUUGUUCAGUAGCUUUGCAUUUUUUUCUCUCUCUCUCAUGACUUGAAUUCUGUCCGUGAUUUUGCUAGUAGCCGGCCUAAAAAAAGCAAAAAAAGAGCAAAAAAAGUAAUAAAAAUAGUGAAAAAAAACAAACAAGGCCGCUUACAUAUGUUGAGAUUAAUCUCUUGCAAUUGAUAUUAUGGACAUUAUUUUGUUGCUCCAACCACCACAUCAUAUCAUUUGUAUCUGCUGGAGCCUUGUUCUUUAUCUGUGUGUCCCUCGCUACUUCAAUUAUCACAUAUCUUUGUUCAUGCGGUUUCAUUUACUUGUUUCAGUAUCUGGGCUUAGAUUAUUUCAUCUCUUACUAGUCGACUACCAGCACCAUUAGGAGUUUGAGCAAUUAUUCAACUUGCAUUACGUUUUGCUUAAUUUUGCCACAUAUUGUGAGUUGAGGAAACCUUCACCAAGCUCCACUCCCUAUAUUGUACCUUGUUCGGUCACUUAGUAAUCGCUAUAUCAAUCUUUUGAUAACUUUGUCAUAGCCAACGGCCGACAACCACUGCAACACAGUAAAAGCUGUUAAGAGCUUGGUAAUUGCUCGAGAGCCGAGGGACAUUUUCCACCGCCUGAUCGUAGUUACUGUAGGAGCAAUAUACUUGUGAUUUUGUUCUUGUUUCAUCCUAACCAUGGCAGGUGAUGAAGACAACAUGAAAGCUAUGGUGGCACGCCUGGAGGAGGAUGUGCAUGCAUACACCGAGCGGUUCACAUCGUUCGAGGGCGCACUUGAUAAGCGUCUCAAGUCGAUCGAGGAUAGCAACGUUCACUCAAACACUUGCAUCUAUUAUGAAACGUCUCGAUGCCCUUCUGGGUGCCGCCUCCACUGCCGGUCCGCGCCUUAUAGCCACCAACACAGGUCUACAAUGAGGUUGUCGGGUGCUCCCAGGGGACCCGAUGCACCCUCUUUCAUACAGUGAUGCCAUCGACCAGCCCCGUCCUUGCAACGCCAACUCGAUAGCCAGCCCGCAUGAGGACAUCCAAGAUGGCAACUAUGUUGGUGAUUCUGACGAUCUUGAUGUAGUUAACACUAACAAUGAUCAUGAUCAUCAUCCACUACGCAAUAAUCAACAAGGUAUGGGAUGCCACUAGCGUCCUCAGGUAUGUGGCCAUGACGACUCUUUGGGUAGAAUUAAAUUUGUCAUGCCUCCUUUUGACGGAAAAUAUGAUCUGGAUGUUUAUCUUGACUGCGAAUUAUUAGUUGAUCAAAAAUUUGCUUGCCAUGAUUUUCCUGAUGAUAAAAGAGUUAGGGCUGCAACUAGUGAGUUUAGUGAUUUUGCUUCUGUUUGGUGGAGAGAACAUUGUUGUGAACAUCCUAAUAAUAUUCCUUCCACUUGGGAAGUUUUGAAAUUAAUAAUGCGUCACCGUUUUGUUCCUAGACAUUAUGAACGUGACUUGCUAAAUAAACUACAACGCUUGAACCAAGGAUCUAAAUUUUUGGAAGACUAUUAUCAAGAAUUGGAAAUGGGCAUGUUACAUUGUGGUUUAGUUGAGACCGAGGAAGCCUCUAUGGCUAGGUUCUUGGAUGGAUUGAAUAGAGAAAUAUAUGACAUACUUGCUUAUAAGGAUUAUAAUUCAAUGACCCAUUUAUUCCAUCUUGCUAUACAUGGUGAACAUGAAGUGCAGGGUCGCUCGAGAAUGCGUUCUAAUUUUUCUGCAGGUCGUACUUCCACAUGGGCACCGUGCACCACUGCUACCCCGUCCACUCGACCUCUAGAACAACACCUGCAACCUCUCGACCGGGCCUACUUCAUCAACUUCAGCAUCACACACUUCGGCACCAUUGAAAAGUACUACACCAACUCCAACAAAAAAUUUGUCAUCAUCGUCCGCUUCCUCCAAAAGAACAAACGUUAUCCAGUGCCACACUUGUAAGGGAUUUGGCCAUGUCAUGAAGGAGUGUCCUAAUAAGCAUGUAUUGAUCAUUCGUGAAGACGGCAAGUACGACUCUGCUAGUGAUUUUGAUGAAGACACAUAUGCCUUGCUUGCUGCGCAUGAAGACGAUGACACAAGACUGGCGCAAGAGGAAGAACAUGUGAUCACCACCGCCGCCGAUAAGCACAUGAGUCUUAUAUCACAUCGUGUACUUAGUGCUCAUAUUGUCAAAGCAAAGAAGGCAACGUCACAACCUCUUCCACAUCAAAGGAGUCGUCAAGGAGCAUUCCGUUCGGAUAAUCAUUGAUGGAGGGAGUUGUAACAAUUUAGCAAGCAUUCACAUGGUGGAGAAGCUCUCCCUACCUUCCCUGACAACAUCCACAACCUUACUACAUUCAAUGGUUUAAUGAUGGUGGAAAGUUAAAGGUAACACGCAUGGCGAGAGUUCCUUUUUCUUUAGGUUCGUACCAUGACCCUAUUAAUUGCAAUAUUGUGCCUAUGCAAGCUUGUUCUAUGUUACUAGGAAGGCCAUGGAAGUAUGAUAAACAAUGUUUACAUGAUGGUAGAACUAAUCAGUACACUCUCACACAUAAAGGAAAGAAAAUCAUUCUACACCCUAUGUCUCCUGAGCAAAUUUUUAAAAGAUGGUCUUGCUAGGGCUAGUAGAAUUACAAAUACUGAGCAUACUAAAUCUGAAAAUCAGAAAGUUGUUGAUGAUGUGAACAAUUUAAUAAGAUGCACAAAUCUGAUCCUAGCACAUUUAAAGAAAUUAAAUUGAAAGGUGCUUCUUUCUUAGCUACACAUGCUGAAAUGUUUGAGUUAGAUGCUCAUACUGAUGAAUGUUAUGCUCUUAUUUUCAAGAAGUUUUGUUUUGAUUUGAGGAUAUGCCUUCUUCUUUGCCUCCUGCUGUCGCUAAUCUUUUGUAGGGGUAUCAUGAUGUUUUCCCAAAGGAAAUACCACCGGGGCUGCCACCUAUGAGAGGAAUUGAACACCAAAUGGACUUGAUACCUGGCGCCUCAUUACCCAACCGUGCACCGUACCAAACUAAUACAGAGGAGACUAAGGAGAUUUAGUGACAAGUUCAAGAACUACUCGAAAAAGGUUACAUUCGUGAAUCCCUUAGUCCAUGUGCUGUACCAAUUUUACUUGUUCCUAAAAAGAUGGUACUUCACGUAUGUGUGUUGAUUGUAGAGCCAUCAAUAAUAUUACAAUUCGAUAUCGUCAUCCUAUUCCUAGAUUAGAUGACAUGCUUGAUGAACUCAGUGGCUCAGUUGUGUUUUCUAAAGUGGACUUGCGUAGUGGCUACCAUCAAAUUCGUAUGAAACCAGGUGAUGAAUGGAAAACUGCUUUCAAAACUAAAUUUGGUUUAUAUGAGUGGUUAGUUAUGCCUUUUGGAUUGACUAAUGCACCUAGUACUUUCAUGGGACUAAUGAAUGAAGUUUUGCAAGCUUUCAUUGGAUGAUUUGUGGUAAUAUACUUUGAUGAUAUUUUGAUUUAUAGUAAGUCACUAGAGGAACACUUAGACCAUUUGCGUGCUGUUUUUUCUACUCUGCGUGGUGCACAUUUAUUUGGUAAUAUCAAGAAGUGCACUUUUUGCGUGGAUCGAGUUGCUUUUCUUGGCUCUGUCGUGACAGGCAUGGAAUUGAAGUUGAUAAAGCAAGGUUGAAGCGAUCCAGAGUUGGCUGAUCCCUAACUCGGUCACACAGGUAUGAAGUUUUCUUGGACUUGCUGGGUUCCACCGGCGGUUUGUGAAGGAUUUUAGUACCAUCGCAGCGGCGCUCAACGAGCUCACAAAGAAAAAUGUGCCAUUUGUUUGGAGCGACGCACAAGUGGUAGCCUUCACUAUUCUUAAAGAUAAGCUUACACAAGCCCCCUUGCUGCAAUUACCUGAUUUUAAUAAGAUGUUUGAAUUAGAAUGUGAUGCUAGCGACAUUGGUUGAGGCGGUGUUUUAUUUCAAGAAGGCAAACCAGUAGCAUAUUUUAGUGAAAAAGUCAGUGGGCCUAGUUUCAAUUAUUCAACAUAUGAUAAAGAACUUUAUGCACUAGUUCGGACUAUGGAGACAUGACAACAUUAUAUAUGGCCUAAGGAGUUUGUCAUAUAUUCCGAUCAUGAAUCACUCAAGCAUAUUAGAAGUCAAAGAGAAUUGAAUCGUAGACAUGCAAAAUGGGUUGAAUUUAUUGAAUCUUUUCUUUAUGUUAUUAUAAGAACAAGAAAGGGAAGGAUAAUGUUAUUGCCGAUGCAUUAUCUAGACGCUAUACCAUGUUAUCACAACUAGACUUCAAAUUUUUCGGACUUGAAACUAUAAAAGUGCAAUACACUAAUGAUGUCAAUUUUAAAUAUAUAUUGCUCAAUUGUAGAGAGGGUAGAACUCGGAACAAGUUCAUCGUUAGUGACGGAUUUGUUUUCGUGCUAAUAAGCUAUGAAUCCCAGAUAGCUCUGUUCGUCUUUUGUUGUUACAGGAGGCGCAUGGAGGUGGACUUAUGGGACAUUGUGGCAUCAAGAAGACAUAAGACAUCCUUGCUGGUCAUUUCUUCUGGCCGAAAAUGAGAAGGGAUGUGGAGAGAUAUGUUGUACACUGCACGACAUGCCAAAAAGCUAAUUCACGAUUGAACCCACAUGGUUCAUAUAUGCCUCUUUCUGUUCCUAGCACUCCUUGGGAAGAUAUAUCUAUGGACUUUGUAUUAGGGCUGCCUAGGACACAACGGGGGCGGGAUAGUAUAUUUGUGGUUGUUGAUCGAUUCUCUAAGAUGGCACAUUUUAUACCUUGUCAUAAAAGUGACGAUGCUACUCACGUUGCUGAUUUGUUCUUUGGAGAAGUAGUUCGUUUACAUGGUGUGCCAAAUAUAAUUGUUUUUGAUCGUGACACAGAAUUUCUUAGCCACCUUUGGAGGGUGUUGUGGACAAAAUUGGGGACUAAGCUUUUAUUUAGUACUAUAUGUCAUCCUCAAAUAGAUGGUCAAACUGAAAUGGUUAAUCGAAUAUUGUCUACUAUGCUUAGGGCUGUUUUGGAAAAGAACUUAAAAAUGUGGGAAGAAUGUUUACCUCAUGUAGAGUUUGGUUAUAAUCGUUCAGUUCAUUCUAGCACAAAGUUAUUCCCUUUUGAGAUUGUUUAUGGAUUUAUACCUCAGUCGCCUAUUGAUUUAUUACCUAUUCCAUCUUCGGAGAAGGUAAACCUUGAUGCUAAAGAACGUGCUGAGCUAGUAUUGAAAAUGCAUGAGAUGACUAAGAAAAUUAUUGAAUGCAUGAAUGAUAAGUAUAAACUUGCUGGUAGUCAGGGUAGGAAAAGUCUUGUGUUUGAACCAAGUGAUUUAGUAUGGUUACAUUUGCGAAAAGGCCGCUUCCCUGAUUUACGGAAGUCAAAAUUAAUGCCUCGUGCGGAUGACCCUUUUAAGGUGAUAGAAAAAAAUAAUGAGAAUGCGUGUAAGCUUGAUUUGCCUGCAGAAUUUCGGGUUAGUCCCACAUUUAAUGUUGUGGACUUAAAACCUUAUUUGGGAGAGGAUGAGAGUUACCGUCGAGGGCGACUUCGGUUCAAGAAGGGGGAGUUGCAUCCACCGCGACUCCUACAUCAGUUAUUCCAUUUGGACCUAUGACUAGAGCACGCGCCAGCCAGAUAAAUGGCCAGGUGCUAUCGCUCAUUUGUACAUAUGAUUUAACUAACGAGAAUAUGAUAUUACACUCAUCUUCAGAUUUACUUGUACUUAGGAACGAAGGUGUUGGAGAGAUGACGAGAAAAAGCCGCAUGCAGAUGGAAGAUGGAAAAUGUUGCACAUUGAUUCCACAAGCAGCAGUACUAUUGACAUGCGAGAAGCUACCUAGCCACCUACGUGCUCAAGUGCAAAAGGAGGAGAAGGAAUAUUAGGCCUCCUGGACCAAAGACGACCACAUUCGCAUGCAGCCCACACCACCAACAGUUAAACAAGGAAAUCAUCUACAUGUGGGUCGGCUCAUGAUUAUGAUUUCCUUCGAGUCGUAGCCGACCAGGAUUCAUCUACGCGCAGGUAGUGGCCGCACCUAAUAAAUAGUUAGCUUGUGUUAUGUUUAGACUCGGGUUGUAUUGUAUUGUUUAGCCAUUAUUACAAUCCGCUCUAUGAGAUAUGUAGGACUACUGCCUUGUCAGAUCCACAGUGAAAUCCCAACUUUUGAUCUAGUUCGUGUGCUUAAUUUUUCAUUCGCAAUUUCAGAUUGCAAUUCAUCUUUGUUCUUGCCGGUUCUUUCAUUGCUUGCAAGAACUCAAACCUUGUUGUUCAGGUUGAUCGUGCCUACGGCAAGGUCAAUAACCAUCGGAGAUUGGUUUAGCGAUUGUCAAGGCGUAUCAUUAGGUACAGUAUAGCCGGAUCGUCAAGGUCAGAAUCCACCAAAUUGAUAGUUAUCCUCACUCUCAUCGAAAGAUCAGGCCACCGUCACAUCAAGUGGUAUCUGUUUUCGGGUUCAUCGGGGAGGGAUUUGCAGUUUUAGUAGAUCAGUUUAUUUUUCUGUCCUAUAAACCCACGAAAUGGCCAAAAAAAUUUAGAUUAGUUCAUCCAUUGCAACUAUCUUUUUAGCCUUUACCAAUUUUUGCAUCUAAUAUUUGCGUAGUUGAAUUUUUGGUUGCAUUCAUCCUAGAAUUAGUGAUGGUUUAGAUUAGCUGGGAGAGAAAAUCAUCUACUAGAUCAAUCUGUUUUUGUCCACCCUCAAAUUCUCUAUCACAACGCUCGUCCUCAGUAAAAAAAGAGAAUAUAGCGAAUCAGGCAUUGAUUUUCAUUGCAGAUUCCCGUAACCCAACCAUACAGGCUUUCCGUUUCAUGACCGGCCAGACAACUGGGCACAUCGUGUCUGCUGCCCCGCGCCGCAUCACCACAGGCUAACACGCCAGCCGCCAGACAUCCCACGCUGGUUGUUUCACUCCACGCGUUUCACCACAAAUCUCCUUCGGUUAUUCCUAUGCGUUACACACUAGUAGUACUACUCCUAGCUAAUCUCAACUCCAAUACACUUCUAGCUAGCUCCGUAGCACUUUGUUCAGUAGCUUUACAUUUUUUUCUCUCUCUUGUGACUUGAAUUCUAUCCGUGAUUUUGCUAGCAGCUGGCCUAAAAAAAAAGCAAAAAACAGAGCAAAAAAAGUAAUAGAAAAAAACAGUGAAAAAAAACAAACAAGGCCGCUUACACGUAGUAGCCACUCCCUCCGCACUGUCAACACGUGCUACACCACAGGACCACACAACAGCCAGCCCUGACGGUUGUUCACCUGGCCGAAUGCCCCUGGCCCACUGCACGGCCUAACCAGUAUCGUCGGUGAUGGCCAGGGGAGCAUGGGAGGAGGGUCCUGAGCGGCUAAGUUUACUCCUCCAAUGCCUCCCCCGCAAGCGGCUCGGGAGGGAGACAUGAAAGGGGAAAGAGCUUGUAUGGGAUCUGGUAAACGUGUACAUAGUUAGAACACACAAGCAUGCUUGUUCAAAAAAAAGUCUCAUUUUCAAAAAAUUUAGCAAGCUUGUUCUAAAAAAGUCUCAUGUUUAUACUAUUUUCAUAUUUACUGUUCAACUCGGUUUAUAUGAGCUGGGGAGCGAAAGGCCUGCUCUGUUUUGGAUGCUAUUCUCUGUUCAGUAAUGUGGUAGCUCAUGCAUUUGGCUUGGGAGUGAGAAAUGUGUAGAUCAUGGUUUGCCACACAGGCUAACACGUGGAUAUUGCCUUGGAAGAUCUUAGAGAUUACUAGAAGCAAAUGUGGCCCUUGCCGCGCCGCUCUUCUUGUGGGACCUAUCUUUUACCGUGUUGAGUCCGGGUCACUGAUGGCUGAUCACCAAGCGAUGAAUGAAGAGUUUUUCCAAGGAUACGUCAAAGAUUGAUGUAUCGAGAUCAUAGAUAGAAAAUGCCUAGAAAGGCAGACAAUUUUACAACUUAGCCACGGCUAUGAAAGCCAAUGUUUGACAUGCCGAUUACUCACUAGUAGCCCACUCAUCUACUCUAACAGGGAGUGAUCCCGCCUCUCGAAGUAGCCCUGCUGCCCUCCAGUCUUGCCCUUCUAGAUCAAUCUUCUUGAGGAGCUCACUUGUGGAGGCCGCCGCUCCAUUGAACACUACAUCGUUCCUGUGCUUCCACAACAUCCAAGCCACCAAUGCAAUGAUGGUCCAUGUCUCCUUACUAAGUUUUGGCUGCGGGUUAACGGAGGUCCACCAUUCCACUAGAUUGCCAUCUACCCUUGGAAACCAAGUUAGUUUGUCCUACUGGUCGAGAAUGGAGAGCCACACUUGUCUAGCAAAGACGCAGCCGAGAAGGAUGUGAUUGAUUGUCUCCGGCUCUUGUUCACAGAAGGGGCAAGUUGAAGGAUGCGGUAGGUGCAGACGCACAAGCCUGUCAACCGUCCAACACCUCUCCCGAGCCGCCAGCCACGCGAAGAAAUUGCACGUCGCCAUCGCUCUUGACCGCCAGAUUUGCAUGGCUCCAGCGGCCUCCACUCUCCCAACAAAGAACACCCGGUAGGACGAUCUCGCCGAAAAGCACCCAUUUUGUUCCCACGCCCAGACCAAUCUGUCUUCAGUGCCAUCCAUGAGCUGAAUGUGUUGGGUUAUGUCCACAACCUGUAGGAACUCGGUCAGUGGUUGGGGGCUCAUGUUAGGUGACAUGUCUAGCCACCAACCUUCAGCUAUGGCUUGUCUCACUGUUCUCUCCCACGCUCUCCUUUGACUGCAGCGAAUAGGUUUGGCAUGAGAUCUUGGAUUCUACCAUCCCAUGACCACCAAUCUGUCCAGAACAAUGCUAGCUUUGCUUUGAGCGCUGCGUUGAGAAGGCACAAGUUUAGAAUGCCAAGGCCGCCGUACUCCAUUGGCAUGCACACCUAAUCCCAUGCCACUAGACAAUGACAGCCAUGUACAUCUCGAUGUCCCUUCCACAGAAAACCGAGGCAUAUCUUAUUUGCUGCUUCGAUGGUUUUCUCUGGCAGAUCUAGAGCCACCAUCGCAUGUAUGGGCAUGGACGCUAGCGUGGUCUUUACUAGAUCCAGACGCCCAGCCCUGAAGAGCAGUCUCGCUUGCCACGCGAGAAGCCGACCGGUCAUUCUAUCCACCAAGUGCUGCAAUUGCGAUGCCGAUAUCUUGCGCAAGCCCAAAGGCAUCCCGAGGUACCGGCAAUGCCAUCCGGUCACCUGGAAUCCCAACUGAUCGGCUAUCCACUGCACUAGCACCUCGAACAACAAAUCGGGUGUGCGGAACACUUAACCAUUUUCGUGCGAAGUCCCGAGCUGUACCAAAAUCUGUGAGCAACACAACACAUGCCCUAAGGCUUCGGCGUUCUGGCUUGAGAAAAGUGACUACAUCAUCCACAUAUAUUGUUGUCCUGUGCCAUAGCCCGGCUGGUGCAAGUGGAGUGAGCACACCAUCUGAAGCCGCACGUUGAAGUAGGUGGUGAAGGGCCUCCAUGACCAUAACAAAAAGCAGGGGGACAUAGGGUCUCCCUGCCGGAGAUCUUGCCAGUUAUAUAUGACCUCGCCUGGUAUUUCAUUGAGCAGUACCCUUGUUGAGGAGGAUGCAAGGAGACCGGCUACCCAAGAAAACCAUUUUGGGCUGAACCCAAGUUGCUUCAAAACCUCCAUCAAGAACGCCCAGUCCACAGUGUCAAAUGCUUUUGUGAUGUCUAGCUCAAGCAUGACCGAAGGUGUCGAGGAAAUAUGUAGCUUCUUUGCCAUGCCUUGUACCAUCAUGUAAUUAUCAUGUAGGCAUCUUCCUCUAAUGAAUGCACUCUGGUGAGCACCGACCAAGUGUGGCAUAUCGCCAAUAACCCGUGUCACUGGGACCUUGGCAGCCAGCUUGGGGAAGCUAUGAAUUAGGCUGAUUGGGCUGUAAUCCUCGACCUCAAGCGCGGUGGCAGAUUUUGGCAAAAGAGUGAUGAAUGUCUGAUUAAUGGAAGUCAUCCUACGAAAGUCUAUGGCCCCAAAUGAAUGGAAAGCUGCCAACACAUCGCCCUUAAUGACAAGCUAACAUGCGACAGAGAACCGGGCCGAGAACCCGUCCGGGCCCGGCGCCUUGUCGAAGUCUUGCACACGGAUCGCCUCCCAAAUCUCCUCAUGUGUGAACAAUCCCUCCAGAUGUGUCAUGUUAAAAGUUAGCAUUCCUAGCUCUCCUAGGUCCAGCGUGUAUGCCCGGUCCGGCGCCACUCCAAGCAGAUUGGCAAAAAAGGAGUCUACCGCCUCUGCAAUAGCGUCGUGAUCCCACGUCAUGAUGUCAUCUACUUUCAACUUUGAAAUGUAGUUCUUCCAUGUCCUAUAGCUUGCAUGCGCAUGAAAAAACUUUCGUGCAUGCGUCUCCAUUUCUCAACCAAUUAAAACGGGACCACUGCCUCGUGAUUGAGCGCUCUAGCGAUGCUAAUCUGAGGAGUUUCCGCUUGAUCAUUCGCCGUAGUUCCAUCUCAGUAGGGGAUAGCGAUCGUGUCUCCAUGGCGACAUCAAGCCGCAAAAUCACCUCGUUUGCAAUGGUCAACUGUUGUUUGAUGCUUCCCACAUAUUUAUCACUCCAGCUCAUCAGUUUGUUUGCGGUGGCCUUCAGCUUCAUAGAAAGCCUCUUGAAUGGGUUUUCCACGUCCGGAUGGCUCUCCCAGGCUUAUUGAACCACCUCAUGGAAGCCUUCAAUCUUUGUCCAAAAUUUCUGAAAGUGAAACCGCUUGCCUCGUCGAAGGUCGGCCUCCAGGAUGAUAUGUAGGGGGCAGUGAUAAGAUGUGCUAGUACUGAGAGCUGUGAGGAAAGACUGCAGGUGUAAUGGUUCCCAAUCUAUCGAAACCAAAACCCUAUCGAGCUUCUCGAGGGUAGCCUCUUGCCUGUCAUUGGACUACGUGUAUCUCCGGCCAUUGAGAUAUAGAUCUUUUGGGUCCAAGUCCGAGAUGUAGCGUCUAAACCGUCCCAUCAUCUGACGAUUUAUUCUUUCGUUCACUACGGCAGGAUGGUCCAAACGCUACAGUCCACUCAGAGACCCUUCGAUGAAACUGUGUGUGAUGCAUUAAUCGCAAACGAUGAUGUAAAAUAACCAAAAAAAUGAUACAAAAUGUUUGUGAUGGUGGAGACAUCAAAUACGAUCUAGAUUGUAGUAGCGUGUGUAAUAUGUGGCAUAUGGUUAAUCCAGAAGAACUGUUUGCGAUGAGUCAGAACAACAAAAACAGUCAGCCAUAUAAAGGUGUGUGCGAUAUACGGCAUACAGUUCACUCGGAUGAACUGUUUGCGAUUAGGGAACACAACAGAAACGGUCAGCGAGAUCAAGGUGUGUGCGAUAUACGGCAUAUAGUUCAUCGAGAUGAACUAUUUUUGAAUAAGCAACACAACAAAUACGGUUCAACUUAACAAGAUGUGUGUGAUAUGUGGCAUACAAUUCACAUAGAUGAACUAUUUGCUAUGAACCAAAAGAACACAAACGAUUCGUGUAAACAAGAUAUGUGUGAUACGCAGCAAACAACCACUCGGAUGAACUAUUUGCAAUGAGAAAAUAAAACAAAGACGGUUAUUAGAGUUAAUUCGUGUGCGAUUCUGUGUGUAGAAAAAACUUUGAAAAAUGCAAACCAGUUGCUUGCAAUGGCUAGGAGUAUCGCACAUGAUGCGCGUGCAAGUACUCGUGUGCGAUGAUUAGUAAGUUACACAUAUGUUUCCUUAAGUUAACACGUGUGUCGUAACACGUGACACCACAUACGGUUGUCUGGUUGUGUGCUCCACUUAGUCUUGCCGCGCUCCAGGAAGGCUUCCCACGCUCCACAAGGGUGAUUUGUAAAAUCCCCUAGCUAGCUGCUUGCUAUAAAUAACCACAACAAUGGCCACCGGUAACGACUCGCUACUGAUCCACUUGCUAGCUAGUUACCCACACAUACCGACAUACCCCCAACAGCCAACGACAGGAUGGAGUUGUGCGACGGGAAUGGGCACCGGAGAUCAUAGUUUAGGUUAAUUAAUUAUAUAUCCGGAGUAUAAUUAAUUAACAUAAUCUGAGAUCAAAUAAGUGAAGCUUCCCCAACGUGAUCGUGCGCUGGCCCCAACCGCUAGCAGAGCACGCACGCUGGGACGCAACCCGAGCGUGCCUUGGCGCCUAAACGGUAAACAAAGCGCACAGAGGGAUGCGACCCGAGGGUGCCUUGGCGCCUAAACGGAGAGCGGAACACGUAGAGGGAUGCGAGCAGAGCACGCCGCGACCGCCUAAACGACGAGUAAACACAUGCAUAAUUAUUUCAUACAGCAGAUGAACAUAGCCGGGAAUAGGCGUCCAAUAAUAUUAUUUUUGAUGACAUGCAUUAAUAUAUUCUUAGUUAAAUCCAAGGUAAAAGUUUGGUACUAUAAAAUACGAAGGGGGACAAUAAACCAUGACAGAGGUAGUACCUAUAUGAACACAAACGCCCAGUACAGAAAUUAAUGACAUUAUAAAUGUGUCUCGCAUUCCACACCAAUGCUUCCCGCCUCUUCCCUCAUCAGUUUCCCGCCACCAGCAAGUGGCUUGCUCCAUAUGACCCAGGCGGCAACGCACCGUAUCGACACUAUGCAUAGAUCUAGUCCACACCCAUCUACCAUUAGUUAUUCCAAGCAUGCUAGGCACUGAUGAAUGCUUCAAUGUCGACCCUUUCAUGCAUUACACCUUCGGCAAGGAGAACGAGCCAGAGCAGGUCGGGGAGCAAGAGCUUCAUUGGCCGGUGCUGGAGCCAUGGCCCAUCGGCAGCGAUAUUGCCGUGACAGUCCUUGAGGGUGCAAUGUACAUAUUGCAGAGGAAGUGUGAUGAAUAGUUUGCCAUCCACCAUGCAAAAGAUCCAGAGCUGCUAGGCGGCAUGAUCGAUGACCCACCCGAAGAGCCACCAUUACCAAUGCUCAUCGAGAGCCUAAUGCCCUGCAAGGAAUGGGUAGAGGACCUCUGCGAUUCAAUUAUGAGAUAGCCAGCCUACGGCUUCAUCAUUGUCGGCGGCGGUCGUGUCAACCUCGAUCCCGAUGAUGUGGUCGCUAGGCUUGAGCGCAUCCAUGGCUGAGUUGACAUCCCCGACGAAGUAGAACAUCGCCAAUGUGGUAUCUUGAGGAUGCAGGUGAUGGAUGGAAUUUGCUACCAGGGCAGACACAUGGAAAUGGAGUGGUUCCGCGGGUGUGUUAUGCGCGCAAUUGAAUGCUAUCAAGCUGUUCUUGAAGAGGCCCAGCAGCCCCAAGAGCCUCCCAGCACCAGCAGCUCCGUAGGCGGAGACGGGUAACGUGGCUGCGGGUCGGGACACUUAGAAUGAAUGGCAACAAGGGUGCUAUGCUGAUCAUGGAGUCCGAGAAGACAGUCAUCGGAAGGCCGCCAGCUCAACCUUUUAGCCUAUAUUUUAUUAUAAUUGUAUGCAAAUAUCGCAUAUCGACAUUUUAAGUCACUAAGCAUAUGUAGCUCGUGUGUGUUUUGGGCAUUGACGCAUGUGGCAUUUUAAAUUAUCCUGAAUUUGUAAGACACUAUUAACCAUUGCCAUUGUAAAUUUGCCUGAACGAUGAGUAGAGUGCGCGUAGGGAUGCCAGAGAGGAGCGCGCCAUGAUUUUCUCAAUGGAGAGCAAAAUGCGUGGACAAAUGCGAGUAGAGCACGCCGCGUCCAUCUCAAUGACGAGCAGAGCGCGCGCAUGCGGCAGGGGGGAGGAGAAGAGCGUGCCGCGGCCACCUAAAAGGCAAGCAACCACACCUGCGUAUUGCAAUUCUGGUCAACCUUUUGGCACCCCGUGGGAGGCGCUACGGCCCAUCCAUCGGACAUGAUGGUGAUAGCUAGACCAUGUGUGAUAGUGGGCAGACACAUACAUGUCCAAGAAAGCGGGCCCACGUACGCUAUCUGGGAACCGUUUUGGGCUUCAAUCCCAGAACCAUCAAUAAAUUUUGAGUUUGUUUCUCGUCACAUUCCAGAGUACCACGUAAUAAGUUACUGCAAAUCUGGUCACACUGAUCCAACCUAAACAUGUUCCCACUUAGCACUGGGUUAUAAAAACCACCCACUCGAAAUUAGUUUACAAUUCCUCUCCUCAUCACACAAAAAAGAGGUCUUUGCCAUGACCGGUUGUGGGGACCCCAACUCAUAAGUCGAGAUCACCGAAUGCACGUGUACAGUGAUCCCGGAGAUCAAUGCUCACUAAACACACAUAAGUUGAAUACAGGAGUCUUACAUCCAUACAUACCGUCUUACACAAGUUAUGACCGUUAUGGUCAAGUCUUACAUAGAUAAAGCCUUAAGGAUUGAACAUCAAAUAAAGCACAAGCAGCGGAAAUCUUCGUCUAUAAGUAGAACCCAUGCCAUCUGCCUUAACCCUACAGGCAUUCUGACUGGGAAAGCGUCCUAUCUCGCAUGUUGUCACCAAAGAACUCUUCUUCAUAUCAAGAUCUUUCAUACCCGGCCAAUUAAAUAACCAGUGGCAAGGCAAUGAGUACUUUGAAUGUAGGCUCUACUGCUAAAUUGGCAUUUUUGCGCAAAGCUAGUUUUUCUCAUGCAAGUAUGAUCAACAUUUAUCAAGGAUAUGAAUGCUUCUGCAGCAAGUGUCAGGAGGUUACAGACAUCAACAUCGAGAAAGAGUUAUAAACAACUCAUGCUCAAGCUCAUCGUGACUUCCUCAUGAAUCACAUUAUCAAUAUUACCAAACCGUGUUGUUUGUCAGAAACAUAUGGCCAUAGUCUAAGCAGCACUACCCAACUGUCCUUGACCGUGGACACGACUAUUUGAAUAGUUUGACACUCUGGAGAGGUUGCACACUUUACCCACAAGAUCCGGGAAGCUUUCAUGUCAUCCACAACCCGCGGUACCUCAAGUACCAGGGGUAAGCACCCGAUCACUACCUUUCCCUUGCCGUGACUAACAAGGAGUCCACUCGAUUGGUACCAGCCCUCGUGCCAACAUUAUCACAUAAUAAAUUUUUGUGGAUCCACGCUCCCAUAUUAAUCAUAUAACACAAGCACGGGGUACCAGCGAUGUGUCUGGUGCCCUGUAAAAACAGUCAAGGCCACACUACCUGGCACGACCCCGUCCCGAGAGUGAUCAUGCCACUCUCGUCAAUAGUAAUGCGGGCAUUCAUGUUAGCACGAACUAGGUAAUCAAUAAUGUCCUUUUGCAUAUAAGGGUAGAGUGGUUGCACAUGUAGGGUUGGGACGGUCAACAAAUCUUAAAUCUAAUCCGUCUUUGUAAACAAAACUUUCAUCAAGCCUCGGUACACUACCUAUCCACCAACUAGUGACCUAGUUCAUCAUCAUCUCCCAGGGGCAUUAGUGGCACCCACUGGGCUAUUUGCAAGUAUGUCAAACCACACUUGUUUCUUUCCAUGCAUAACUCUGACCCAUUUUGCAUAGCCAACUACUAUAGCAUAUUUCUACAACCCACCAACACAGCUCUAAACAAGGAUAGAGUCAUGAACAAUGUAAGUAUCAACGGGGUAUGCACCGGAGGCAAGCCUAGCAAGGUUGCCAUUCAAGAUAUCAUGCAUUCAACAAUAAGGGAAAGAAAUGCUAUUAUGAUAAAAAGGGUUCUUCAUGGUCAAAGGGCUGCUUGCUUGUCUUAACCAAGUCCCUGGGUCUUCAAAUGUCUCUGGUCCAACUCCUUCAUCAACGUUGUAAUCUAACGUUGCAAAAAUAACGGCACAAAGUAAGACCAUAACACAAAAAAAAAAUUAAAAGUGCUCAUAAAAAUGUUCACUUAUUUUUGUUAAAUAUUAGGAUGAAAACUAAGAAUGGAAAAUUCUUAGUUUUGGAUUUUGGGCUAUAGAAACAGAGGAAUGGAUUUUUAAAGUGGGACUUAAAUGCUCAAAUUUGAAUUUAAAUUUGAACAGUACAAAAAAGUGUGAUGGAUUUGCAUGAAAGUUAUACCAUUAAUUAGGUGGUAUUUUUAGAAGAAUAUAGGAGUUGGAAUUUUGUGAUUUUGAUAAAUAUUUUAUUCUGUGGAAUUUUUGGAAGUUUCUGGAAAAAGAAAAAGAAGAAAUGGCACUGUGCAACUGGGCUGAUUCGUGCACCGUGCAGUAGGCCCAAAGGGGAUCCAACCCGCAUGACAGACCAAUUCGAAGGCGUAUUUAGAAAAUACGCCUUUAGCCGACACAGCAAACUGAUACGCGCGCGCGUGUGUUUUAAACCUGACAGGUGGGACCCCAUUGUCAUGGUGUGUGGCUGAUAAACGAGCCCAACGACCGUCGUUGUCUACCUCUGGCCAAAGGGCACGACGAGCUCAUCGGCCUUGCUAUGGUCGACGGCGAGGCGAUCUGAGGGCACCGGCGUGCUCCGGGCGGAGUCGCUCUUUGAGUGGAGANNNNNNNNNNNNNNNNNNNNNNNNNNNNNNNNNNNNNNNNNNNNNNNNNNNNNNNNNNNNNNNNNNNNNNNNNNNNNNNNNNNNNNNNNNNNNNNNNNNNNNNNNNNNNNNNNNNNNNNNNNNNNNNNNNNNNNNNNNNNNNNNNNNNNNNNNNNNNNNNNNNNNNNNNNNNNNNNNNNNNNNNNNNNNNNNNNNNNNNNNNNNNNNNNNNNNNNNNNNNNNNNNNNNNNNNNNNNNNNNNNNNNNNNNNNNNNNNNNNNNNNNNNNNNNNNNNNNNNNNNNNNNNNNNNNNNNNNNNNNNNNNNNNNNNNNNNNNNNNNNNNNNNNNNNNNNNNNNNAUCGACAUGGUAGAAGGAGGGGAAACGAUCAGCGAGGUGGGAUGGUUCUAGAUCGAGUGAGAGUGGAGGCGGAGGGGCCGAUACCUUGAGAUCGACGGGACACGAGGUGGUGGAGCUCGAGCUCGAUCUCGAGCUCAGGCUGCUUCGAGGAGGAGUGGUUGGCUCAGGAAGUUGAGUGAGAGAGAGUGAGGGGUGGAGAGAAAGGGGCUUGGGGUGGAGAGAAAGGGGCUUGGGGUGGUAUAUAGCCGGCCCGGGGCUCACCGUGGACAGAGCUCACGGGUGCCCACGGCAACGACUCUAGUGACCGGGGGGAGGAGCUGGGGUUGCUUUGUGGUGCUGGUGGAGGUAGUUUAGGGCCCUGGGAGGAGAGAGGAGGAGCAGGGCGAGCUCGAGGUGGGACCCGAGCGAGCACAGAGAGUGGCGGAGCUGGGCGGCGCUCUGUCCAUGCGCGGGACGGGCAGGGGAGAGAGAGAGGAAGGAGGGGGACAGGGGUGUAGCAUGCUGCGAAUGUCGAGGCACAUCGUCGGGCGUACGGGGGAUGCCCGAGGUUGUCGGGGGCAUCAGGGAGAGAGCAUCUAUAGUGCGUGGCUGCACUGUAGCGCACUCUAGAGCACGCCAUUGGCCAAGGGUGUCUGGUAGUGCUUGGGUGGAGUAAACAAUGUGGGAGGGGCAUUGGAUGCUCUGGAGGGCCAGUAGGAGAGGAAAGAGGUUGAGGGCGAGAGAGAAAAGGGCCAUCCAGAAAGAGAUAAUGAGGUUUUCCCUCAAUCAUUGAGCUCUGGUUGGGAGGGAGUUACUGGAGGUAGAGGGUGACUAGAUGAAGCUCUGGUAAAAAGUUGAGCUCAUGGAGAAUAGUGUAAGUGGUCAAAAUGGUGAUUUUGGAAAAAUGAUAGAAGGUGUUUCAUGCAAAUUUGGGCCAGCAAAUGAAGUCCAAUUUACAUGAGAAUUAACAGGAUCAAAUGGCAGAUAGGAAUGGGUUUGAUCACCAAGUUUGAGCUCAUUUGGAGAAAGCUGCCAAUGUAACUUUGGUAAACCCUAGAAAUCAACAGAAAUGGAUUUUCCAAGAUUUAGUCAUGCAAACCUUUUCUCCUUUAUGAACCACUUGGUGUAGUGUCAUCAUUUGAGGAUUUGAGCAUGUCCACAAAAUUUGGGAUGAAAAGGAGAAAGUUGGCAAUGUAAAGUUGUUCAAACUUGGAUCUGGUCAGAGAGGGUUUUGGGUACUUUUGUGAACCAAAACUGUUUUGCUUGAGUUGAAACUUUGCAAGGUCAUCACAUUAUGCAUAUGUGACUUGCUAGAAUUUUCCUGGAUUUAUUUGAAAAUAUUUCUUAUAGAAACAUCUCAAAUACUUGAAAUGGACAGAAAUGGUUUUGGAAGGUUUUGUCCAACAUUUUGAACAUGACCAUGUGUUGAAACUCACAUAUAUAGAAAAUAUAUGUCCACUGAGCUUCCUUAUUUUUUCUCAAAUAUUUGUGACACAUUAAAAUAAUUUUAACCUAUUAAAGACCAUUUCUGGCCUUAAGAAAAAGCCUUUAAAUAAAAUAGAAAAAUAACUUUUAGAAUGAUAUUUUUGUGGAUUUUGGGAGUCCUAUAUCUAAUAGGAUUGGAAUAUAAUUUUGAAAGAUUUUUCACACCCUUACUUAAGUACUUUUAGUUCAAGUCUCAAUUCAGGGGGCUUUGGAAAAGGUAAUUUAAAAAGAAAUACUUUUUGGCCAAAAUAUUUUUGUCAAAAAAUAAUAUUUUGUCCUAUACACAUGGCAUGAUCAUUGGGGAAAGUUUUGGAUCAAGGAGAAGAUGUAUAAGAGUUGGAGGAUUUAUUUGAUUUUUAGAGCACUUGCAAACAACAAUAAAAAAUCCAAUCAAGCAAAGUUCAAAACACUCAAAAGUUUUUGUGAAACCACAUUUUGUCAUGAUUUAUUAGCUUAAGUGUUAUGGCAUGAAAAUCAUGGUGUGACACCGGUAGGAGGAGUUUUGGGUCGACAUAUAACCAGGGAGCAAAGACCAAGGUCGCGGAAGAACUAGAGAGGUCCUGCCGCUACGUGGCAGCCGCCAACAGCGAUGUCCUGGCGCGCCGCGGAGCCCUCGAACGAGCUCUCUCCGGCAGGUGAGGGCUUUCAUAAGUGCACUCGCCGCAUCGGCGCUUGCGACGAGAUGGCGGUGCUGAUGUCCUUGGCCAGUGAUGAUGACAUUCUCCCUGGCCUAGUUAAGAAACAGGAGCUAUUCGACAGCUUGAUGAAGCUGCUCGAGAUUAGCGAUGCCUCAGUUGAGAAGGCGACCGACCUCAUCGAGCAACUCAUGGGUGACAAUGCCAAGCUCCUCAAGGCGUUUUCUGAGAGGGAGGAGGAGGGCCGCCAGCUGGAAAAGCUGCAUGAGCAGAGCAGUGCCUCAGGGAUGAUGCUAAAAGCGGUGUCCGAGGAACUGAUGGGUGACUUGAGGAAGCUCCACAUCGAGCACAAGCUGGAGGUGUAGGAAUCUGUGGUUGCUGUCAAGCAAAGUCAUGUGAAUUGAAGAAGGAGCUAGAGGAUCUCGUUGCCUGGUGAUCCAUUGAGGAGUAGAGAAAGUAGCAACCCAGAUCGUUGUCUACAAUUUCCUUCUUCUCUUGCCCCCAUGUCUUCCGAGCGUUGCCGCAUGUGGCAUUUUAAAUUAUCGAGAAUAUGUAAGACAAUUAUUAUCCACUCCAUUGUAAAUUUGCUGUCGUAUUAUCCGUUGCCAUUUUAUUUUCUCAUCGUAUUAUUUGUUGCCGACAUGUGGCAUUUUAAAUUAUCUGGAAUACGAGUUGAAAACAAGAACAAAGCAAAUGCUAACAUUGAGCAGGGCCAUGGGAUCACAAGGAAACACCCUCCCCCAGGUGCUUUAAUUAACCACAUGUUAAACAGCGGCUCGACCACCAUUAAUGGAGAAAUUGUGAGCAAGGCGGGCGACUGGUGGAUGGAGGUCAAAGAGCUCGCUUCCCGGUGAGCAUGCACGACAGACUGCUCGCACGUGUCCCGUCUAGCCUGCACGGCGGACAGGUCACACGCGUCCCGUCGAGCCUACACUAGGGACAAGUCACACGCGUCCCAUCGACCCAGCCUCCCCUGUGCUGUUCAACUUCGUUGCAGGUGCUCUGUCUCACAUCCUUUCGUGGGCCGCGGCGGCUGGGCACAUCACCUCUAUUAGCUCUCACCUCAUCCCUCAGGGCAUCGCUCACCUUCAAUACGCGGAUGAUACCGACAUCAUGGUUUAACUCAAGGAUGAGUGCAUUGCCCACUUAAAGUUCCUCUUGCUAUGCUUUGAAGCUUUGUCCGGGCUCAAGAUCAACUUUGCCAAAAGUGAAGUUAUUGUCACAGGGGUGUCGGAUGUUGAGGCUCUUAGGGUAUCCCAACUCCUAUGCUCUCUUGGCUCUUUCCCUUUCAAGUAUCCUCGUCUUCCUAUUUCCCACAACAAAUUGUUGGCAAGAGAUUUUGCCCCGGUUGUCACGAAGGUGGGUAAUCGGGUUAUGCCUUGGUGGGGCAGGUACAACACUUAAGAGGGAAAGGUUGCCCUUAUCAACGCUUGCCUCUCCUCCCUCCCCAUGUUCCUGAUGGGUUUGUUUUUACUCUCUGGAGGGACUCACGUGAGCUUUGAGAAGCACAUGGGUGCCUUCUAUUGGAUUUCGACCGAUAACAAGCGCAGGUAUAGGCUGGUAAAGUGGAAACUUAUAUGCAGACCCAAGAACCUUGGGGGGCUGGACAUCAUUGAUACAUCAAUUAUGAACAAGUGACUUAUCAUCAAGUGGUGGUGGAAAACCAGGACCACCUCAGAGCUCUCUCUGUGGCUUAGUAUUCUCAAAGCUAAAUAUUUUCCUAUGUCUAGCCCCAUGGCUGCUCCUUCGGCGGGUGGCUCUCAAUUUUGGAAAGAUCUCGUCAAAGUGUGCCCGGCGUUUCAAUCCUUGGUUAAAUUUGUGGUUCGUAAUGGUAAAUCUACCCAAUUUGGUUGGACUGGUGGUAUGGGGAGUCUACUCUUGCGGUGGUGUUCCCGGUUCUUUUUUCUUAUUGUAUGGACCCGGAGAUCUCUAUCUUUGAGCUCCGUGAGAAUAACUGGGACCUGGCCCUUUGAUGAUCUCUGUCUCCUGAAAAGUUGGAUGACUGCUAGCGCCUUGUUGCCAGCAUCCCUUUGCUCUCGGAGGGGGAGGACUCGGUGGUCUGGCCUCACUCUGUCUCUGUCCGCUUAUUUGUUAAGUCUCUUUAUGCCAAACUAGUCUCAAGCUCUCCUACUACUAAGUUUAAGUUGAUGUGGCACUCACAGAUCCCUCCUAAGAUAAAAAUCUUCCUCUGGCAAGCGUAUAGAGGAAGGCUGCCCGCGGCUGAUCAGAUUUGUACACUACUAGGAAAACCCUUACUAGUAGCGCUGUUUUUUUGCUAUUAGUAGUGCUGGCAGACGCGCUACUGCUACGACACUAUAGCUAUUUUUUAGCAGUAGCACUUGUUAUUCCCAGCGCUACUGGUAACUGAAGCUAGCAGUAGCGUUGUUCCCUCCAGCGCUACUGAUACUUAUCUGCAGCGCGUGCAGCUAGCCAACGCUACUAUUAUUUGAGUGCUACUGCUAAACUUUACCUCCCACACCACUGCUAACUUUUGUAGGUUCUUUUUUUGCGUUUUGGCUCUGUACACAUUUAAACAGAUCCACCAUUUAUACAAUAACAUGCAUAUUCAGUGAAAAGCAAGUGAGUCAUCGAUGAGCCAAAGUUAUUAGAAGUCUCGACAUGUCUCAAGUAUCUCAUCAUCAUCAAUCAUGGUCUAACACAUGUCUCGAAAUAGCGUUACAAGUCAUUACAAGUUCCCAGUACAUGCAACUACAUGGCCACAUACUCAUGUUUCAUCAUCUAUGUAGACUCUGAUGUGUCCGCAUAGAAGAUAAGAGCGUUCACGAUGAUCAAAAGUGGUAGUAUGUAGUAGUUUUUGCGACGCUGGUUCUGAAUCCCCUGUUGUGCUAUGAAUCUCAAGUAACUAGCUUCGGCUUCCGCUCUGCUAUCAAACCCUUUCUGGUAUCCUUUGAUGACCCCAUUCAUCCUCUCAAACAACAUCAUGCUAUGCAGGAAUGUCGGCCCUAGGUCGAUGAUGUCGUCCACGAUGUGGACACAUAGAUGCACCAUGACAUCAAAGAACACAUGCGGGAAGUACAUCUCUAGCUCAUUCAGUAUGACAACGAUCUCUUCCUGUAGCCUAUGGAGUUGCUUCACACUAAUCAACUUUCAAGAGAUAGCAUCAAAAAAGUGGCAUAGGUCAGUAAGCGUCUCACACACAUGUGUGUCCAUAAUCCCUCUAAGUGCAACCGGGAGUAACUGCAUCAUCAUCACAUGACAGUCGUGAGACUUCAUCCCACUAAAUGUUUUUUUCUUAGUGUCCAGAUAUCUUCUUAUCUUCCCACAAUAUAUGGAACUAACUUUGAUUCCGGCAAGGCACUUGAACAAUUGAUCGACCUCCUUCGGAUCUAAGGUGAAGUAAGAGGGGGGGGGCAAUAAUGUUCUUCCUUCUUAUUUACCUUUUUACCCCUAUCUUCCGUCUCCAUCUCCAUCUCGGUAUCCCCUGAUGACCUUUUACCGGGCAUUCGGAGAUCUUUCCUGAUAUUAAAAAAUUCCAAGUCUUUUCUUGCCUUCGGCCCAUCGUUGGUCCUCUCCGGCAUGUUCAUCAAUGUUCCAAGCAAACUCUCAAGGAUAUAUUUUGUGAUAUGCAUUUGAUCAAGGCUAUGAGGCGUGUUGAGUAUGGGCCAAUAUUCCAAGUCCCAGAAAACAGAUCUCGUCUUCCAUACCUUUAGUAGGGGCUCCGACACCUUUUUCUUCGUCUUUCCCUCUGAGAGGCACUCUUCCCAGUUCUUUAGUAAUUCAUAUAUUUCUGCACUGCCACGCUUAUGUGGAGGACCUCGAUGCUCAACCUUACCAUUGAAUAGAUCUCCACGCUUUCUCCACGGGUCAUCCUUCUCGAGCCAUCUUCGAUGCCCCAUGUACAUGAUUUUCAAAGACCCGCCAUCUUUCGAUAGCUGCAGAGAAGUUGUAUCAUCCAUGCACCUCAUGCCUCCGCAAUAUCCGUGGCACACCUGUCCGGAGAGAUAGCCGUAAAUGAGAUAGUCCUGCACCGUCGUGAACAGUGCGACUCUCAUGUAGAAAUUCUCUCCUUUGCUUGCAUCCCAUGUCUUGGCCGGUGUUGUCCAUAAGGUCUAUAGCUCCUCUUUCAGUAACCCGAGAGACAUAUUUAUAUCAUUUCCCGGUUGUCUCGGCCCUUGAAUAAGCAUAGACAUGUGUAUGUAUUUUUCCUUCAUGCACAACCAGGGGGGAGGUUGUACAUCCAUACAAACACGGGCCAUGUGCUAUGGUUGCCAAAUGGACUCAUGCCAUCACUAGUAGCGCCAAGCACGAUGUUGCUUGGAUCAUUUGCAAAAAAAUCAAAUUCAGCAUUUAAUGCUCUCCACUGGCUGGCAUCUGGGAGGUGUCUCAGCUUUGGCUCAUCUUCAUCAUCUGGCUUCACCCUCUCCGCAUGCCAGCACAUAAGCUUUGAUUCCUUAGGAUCUACGAAAUACCGCUGUAGACGUGGAGUGAUCGGAAAGUACCAUACAACUUUCUGUGGAGCUUUCUUUCCGGCCUUUUUAUAUCGUGAAGUAUUGCACUUUGGACAGAUGGUUUUUUUCUGCAUGCUCGUUCCGAUAUAUGAUGCAAUCAUUGAUGCAUGUGUGAUAUCUAAUGUGUGGCAGACCAAGAGGGAACAUGAUUUUCUUUGCCUCCUCGACACUAGUAGGACACAGGCUUCCCGCGGGAAGAACCUUCUUUAGAUACUUCAGAAGCUCAUCCAGGCUUGCAUCUGUCCAUUUGUUUUUUGCCUUCGUCUUUAGAAGUUCUAGUGUGAAACUCAAGCGGGUCACCUCGGGAUUGCAACCAUCAUACAAAGGAGUCAUCGAGUCUACGUCCAGUUGCACCAGUUUGGCCUCCUCUCUAGAAGCAGCUCUGUCGCUAGUCAUCUUCUGGCGAAGCAGGUCUCGAACAUGCGGGUCCCACAUGGAUAAACUUAGUAGCGACAAAGACGGUGGCGUGUCCACGUCUUCUCCGCCUUGAUCUGCCUCUUCGCCAUCGACAUUUUCGAGGCCGUCUUCCUCUUCGGGCACAUAAUCGGUCAUCUCUUCGUCUAGUGGCCCCAUGUCGUCAUUUCCUGCCCCGUCGAGGUCCUCCUCCUCCUCCUCCUCAUCAUCAUCUUCACUUAUCCACCGAGUAUGGCCAUGCAUGCAACCAUCCUCUAAGGGGUCAAGCCUGACUAUUCCUUUGCAUUUUCGACACGGACAUAAAAUAUCCUUCAGUCUUUUUUCAUACAUGUCAUCCACAGCGGAUUGCCAGUAUCUUUCCACCAUCCUUCCAUUGACCUUCAUGAUCACCUGCGCACGGAGCAAAUAUUAUAAGCACAUAUAUAUGCAUGCAUGGAUCAAAUUCAUACAAAAAUUCGGCAUGGCCUUCCCUAAACAUAGGACAUAUUGAGUUUGCCCGAAAUUCGCCGAAACGGAAUUGAAUCGACAUUUUGGCAAAACACAGGCAAGUCAUGUCACCCACAUUAUUUUAUCAAAUACACAAUGUAGGCAACUCAAAUUAUGCCACACACAAUUCGAUAUAUUCUCAUAUCGCCCAUAUAUAUAUAGUUUUGGUCCUAUACACAAACACUUUUUUUUGCUCACCCAUGUGUCGAGAGGGAUAUCAAGCACCUUUCUUCUUAAUUACUUAGUAGCUCUAGAUAUAUAUUUAUAGCUCUAACUAGCUAGCUAGCUAGCUAGGGAGAGAGAGAGCUAGGGAGAGAGUGGGAGGAGAGGGAGAGAGGAGAAGAGGGAAGGCAUUAAUGGAAGAGGGUGGUGGAGGGCAAAGAAGAAGGGGAGGGAGGGCAUUAAUGGAUGGGGUGGUGGUGGAGGGCAAAGAAAGAGGGGCGGUGGUGGAGGGCAGAGAACAGGGGGAUGGGAGAGCUCUAAUGGAGGGGUGUGGUGGAGAGGCAAAUAAGNNNNNNNNNNNNNNNNNNNNNNNNNNNNNNNNNNNNNNNNNNNNNNNNNNNNNNNNNNNNNNNNNNNNNNNNNNNNNNNNNNNNNNNNNNNNNNNNNNNNNNNNNNNNNNNNNNNNNNNNNNNNNNNNNNNNNNNNNNNNNNNNNNNNNNNNNNNNNNNNNNNNNNNNNNNNNNNNNNNNNNNNNNNNNNNNNNNNNNNNNNNNNNNNNNNNNNNNNNNNNNNNNNNNNNNNNNNNNNNNNNNNNNNNNNNNNNNNNNNNNNNNNNNNNNNNNNNNNNNNNNNNNNNNNNNNNNNNNNNNNNNNNNNNNNNNNNNNNNNNNNNNNNNNNNNNNNNNNNNNNNNNNNNNNNNNNNNNNNNNNNNNNGGAGAUGGGAAUGGAGGGGUGUGCUGGAGGGGCAAAGAAGAGGGGGGUGGUGGAAGGGAAAAGAAGAGAAGAAGGGAGGGCUCUAAUGGAGGGGUGGUGGAGGGGGAGCAUUGGAACAAGCAAGGUGCAAGGAAAGGGGGAGAAAGGAAGGGGGAGAGGAAGAAGAAAGGGGAGGAAGGAGGGGAAAGGUGGUUGGUGGCUGGCGACCAUAGCAGUAGAGCGGGGCACCAAAGCAUGCUACUGCUAUGAGUGCCAGCCAAAAUAUCUACUGGUAACUAAAACUAGCUAUAGCGCUUGUACAAAAAGCACACUACUAGUAUAAGUUUACCCAUAGAAGAAAUAGUAGUAGCACGUCUAGGUGUACAGGCGCUACAACUAUUUUGGUUGGGUGGUGUGCUGCGACAAACUUACCAGUAGCGUGGCCUCCAGAAACCCACGCUGCUGCUAUGUUGUACCAGUAGCGCGCUUUAUAACAGAUGCUACUGGUAAUUAUUAGUAGCGUGGGGUCCAGAACACACACUACUGGUAAACUUCUAUGCAUAAGCCUUUUCCUAGUAGUGAUAAACAGAACGGCCCUGGUUCAGACAGGUGUGCCUUGUGUGGUACACUUGAAGACACGAAUCAUAUGUUCUUUCAGUGUUCCCUCGCCAAGUUCGUUUGGUGUUGCGCCAGGUCCUGGCUUCAUGUGUCUUGGAGCCCCUCCUCUUUCGCGGAUCUUAGGGCCGUGGCAAAUGGCCUUUCGGGGACCUCUAAACGGUUUUUUGGUGGGGUUUGCUGUGAUCUGUUGGUCGCUGUGGACUACUAGGAACAAGUUUACUAUUGAACACUCCUUCCCGGCAAAACCUGUUGACUGCUUGUUUAAAACUUGUAUGUUCUUGCAGAAGUGGAGAUCGUUGACUAAGGAGAUUGACCACGAGGCUUUUGAUCUGAUGACUUCAAAGAUUCAGGCUACACCUUCUUCCUUGUUGCAACACCAACCCGGAGAAUAGUGGAACUUGGAGGUCCCUUUUGCUGGCGUGCUUUCCGUAUUAUGGCCUGUGUGGCAUGUUUUGGCUUGGGAGCCAUGUACCAAUACCGCUGCUGUUAUUUUUCGUCUUUGUGUUUUGUCUACUCGUCUGCUUGUCUGGUGAACACUUCCUGGUGGAUUUAUUUAUAAAGUCAGCACAAGGCCUUUCACCUAGAAAAAGCCUGCAUGGCAGACUGCUCACACGCGUCCGCUCGAGCUUGCACGACAGGCUUCUCGCGCUCGUCUCUAAUCAAACAGCUGCACGAGGCCAUUGACUAUGGUUAAAUUUUGGCCAAAAAUACAAAGAGGACCAAUGAACCAGGACCGAGGUAGUACUCUACCAUAAAAAGAGGGACGCAUGGCCACACUUAAAUGGUUACGGGAACACACACGGUUCAAAUAAUACAACCAUUUGCGAUAUUAACGUGUCAGCUAUUUGUUUCAAAAGGACUUACAUUGGCUAUUAAUGCAUGCGCCUUGUCUCAAACUGGAUGAUUUUUUUACCAUGGCAUAUAUAUGCCAUGUCAUGAAACCAUGCCAAGUUUCAUGAUUUUUGGGUGAGUUUUGGAUUUACCAAGAUUUAAAAACUGAGAUUCUCAAUGUUUCAGGAUGACGAGACGUUUGUAAUUCAUCCCAAUUCCUUCAAUGAGACCUAAACAUGCACCCAAGGACAAAUGUAUGAUUUUCCGCCCAUUUUGCUGCACUAGAGCACGUGCUUGUAGUUCAAAUUUGAAUUAUGGACAUUAAAUGCCUAGAAAACUCAAUUAAUAUAUAAAAUGGCCAAACAAACCCUGAAUAGUUUCAAAUUUCAGCAUGAAACUCCUGUUAUUCUAUAUUGCGUGUAGAAAACAAAAUACAAGGCGAGAAGAGGCAACGAUUAUCGUUUCUCCCACAAGAGGGGCACGUUUACCUACCGGAACCAUGAGGAUUGCGAGAAGCUCUGGUUUGUAAGAGGCUUGUAAUAAAGCUUGGCCCAAAUUGGACAAUUUUUUACCACGACAUAUAUGUGCCAUGUCAUGACACCAUGCCAAGUUUCAUGAUUUUCUGGUGAGUUUUGAAAUUACAGAGAUUUAAAAACUAAGAUUCCCAAUGUUUGAGGCUGAGCCAGGACGCCGAGACGGUUGAAUUCAUUCCCAUUCCUCGCAUGGGACCUAAACAUGCACCCAAUGACACAUGUACAAUUUUUCUAGCCAUUUUGGUGCACUAGAGCAUGUAUUUGUAGUUCAGAUUUGAAUUAUGGACAUUAAAUGCCUAGAAAACUCAAUUAAUGUAUAAAAAAGGCCAAACAAACCCUGAAUAAUUUCAAAGUUCAACACGAAUCUCAUGUUGUUCCAUGUUGACUGUAGAAAAAUACAAGGCGGGAAGAGGGAGCGAUUAUCGUUUCACCCACAAUGGGGACACGUUUCCCUAUCAAAACCACAAGGGUUCUUGCGAGAAGCUCCGAUUUGUAAUAAAGCUUGGCCCAAAUUGGACAAUUUUUUUACCAUGCCAACUUUUUCAAGAUUUUCUAGUGAGUUUUGGAUUUACGGGGAUUUAAAAAUCGAGAUUUCCAAUGUUUGGGGACGAGCCAGAACACCGAUACGGUUCAAAUUCAUUCCCAUUCCUUGCAUGGGACCUAAACAUGCACCCAAGGACACAUGUAUGUUUUUCUAGACAUUUUGGUGCACUGGAGCAUGUAUUUGUAGUUCAGAUUUGAAUUGUGGACAUUAAAUCCCUAGGAAACUCAAUUAAUGUAUAAAAAGGCCAAACGAACCCUGAAUAAUUUUGAAUUUCAGCAUAGAUAUCCUGUCGUUCCAUGUUGCCUAUAGAAAAAAAUACAAGGCGAGAAGAGGCAGCGAUUAUCGUUUCGCCCACAAGGGGGACAUAUUUCCCUAUCUGAAACCACGAGGCUUCUUAAGAGAAGCUCCGGUUUGUAUGAGGCUUGUAAUAAAACAUGCCCCAAAAUGGACAUUUUUUUCCAUGCCACAUAUAUAUGUGCCAUGUGUGACACCAUGCCAAGUUUCAUGAUUUUUCGGUGAGUUUUGGGUUUAAGUGGAUUUAAAAACAGAGAUUCUCAAUGUCCGAGGUCGAGCCACACGCCGAGAUGAUUGUAAUUCAUUCCCAUUCUUUGCAUGGGACCUAAACAUGCAUCUAAGGACACAUUUAUGAUUUUUGUAGCUAUUUGGGUGCACUAAUUUGAAUUAUGCACAUUAAAGUAAUGCUUAUAAAACUUAAUUAUAAUUUAUAAAAAAGGCAAAACGAACCUUGAAUAUUUAAAGCGGUUCUGGUUAACCGUCUGACACCCGUGGGUAAGCACUGUGCACAUGCGUCGUGCUAACUUGUGCUUCUCUCUUUACUAAGUCUUCCAUAUUAAUGGUGUUAUAUAUCCAAACACGCUACCUUUUCCAGCCACUCUCCCAUCGGUUUCCCGCCUCUUCUCCAACGGCUUUCCACUGCUAGUGUCAGUGCUCAUAGAAGGCCAGGCGGUCACACAACGGCCAUGUAAAGAUUGCACACAGUUUCUAAAAGCACAAACGUGUGUGAUAGUAGGGAGUAGGUCCCAUACGUUGACCAGCGUGAAACGCCUUAAAGGCAAGGAGGCAAGUCUUAUCGGAAAGGGGCGGCUUCCCGUCCACUAGCCUAGUUGAAUAGAAUGUAGAAGUCAAGCGUGUUGGGGCUGGAGGAGUCUAAGGAUGGGUGACCCGGUGGGACGUUGCAUAUCUCAAGCUUCAUUAAAGCGCCAUGAUACGGUCAUUAUAGACAUUUAUCAUCUAAAUGUGUCUGUAGUGACAUGUCAUGAUGAUUAUAUAAACCUUGGGAUCUUUUGGUAAUUUGUAGAAUUUGUUUUUUGUCGUUAUUUCUUGUUCCAAAAAAAAUCUGAGAAUGAUCAAGAUUUGUAGGCCCACACAAUCUAUCCCUUUGACCCAACGUACGAGAAGGGUUUGACCAUGAUGGUUUCCUCUUGCUCUGUGUGCCAUGUUAGACCAAAUCAAGUUUGAGCACAUGCGUUGGAUGACACCCCUACCCCCACCCACCCUCGAAGUUGCAGAACCGACAUCAUACGUCUUUAACCUGGCUGGGGGUUAUGAUGUUCGAUUUGUAAUGUUACUAAUGUAGUUGGUGCCCCAUCGAAGUUGUGCAUUGGGGAUUUGAACAAAUCGCACCCCACCCAUACAUUUUUUGUGGCUGCAUGCAGGGUAUAGGGGGUCUUCUGAUCGAGCAUGUCUCCCUUGUGCGGUUUAUAGAUGACACACAUAUCUGUGGGCUCCCCGAGGUCUAUAUAUAUCAUCCUUGACCGAUAAUGAGGGGGGCCCACACAAUCUAUCCCUUUGAUCCAACGUACGAGAAGGGUUUGACCAUGACGGUUUCCUAUUGCUCUGUAUGCCAUGUUACACCAAAUCAAGUUUCAGCACAUGCGUUGGACGACCCCCUCCCCCCUGCCUCGAAGUUGGGGAACCGACAUCGUACGUCUUGAACCUGGCUUAGGGGUACGGUGUUCGGUUUGUAAUGUAGUUGGUGCCCCAUCGAAGUUGUGCAUUGGGAAUUUGAACACAUCACACACCACCCAUACAUAUUAUUUAGCCGCAUGCAGGGUAUAGGGGAUCUUCUAAUCGACCACGUUUCCCUUGUGUGGUUUUUUGUGACGACACGCAUAUUUGUGGGCUCCCCGGGGUCUAUAUAUAUCAUCCCUUUGACCGAUAACGAGGGGGGAUUGGCCAUGAAUGGAUUCCUCCUAGUUCAUGUUAGGGCGGGUCACCGUAACAUGUUCGAGCAAAUUUCGAGCUCAGGCGUUCUCAGGAUUCCCUCCCACAUGCUCGGAAUGGUGGGUUGGACCGACACCGUGCCCUACAUAUCUCAUCCUUAAUUACCUGGCUUUCAUGGUGGUUGUAUAUAUCAAGAGGUAGGCGCCACAUCUAAAUUGUACAUUAUUUGACAUUGAAAACACAUCACCCCUUCCAACGUACAUCAUUUUGGGCGGCAUGCAGGCAGUGCUGGUUUUGUAGCCCCUCUCAUGUGAUUUUUGAUGAUGGUCCAAUCUAUUGGCCCAAGCAGUGUGUAUAUAUAUUCUAUCCAUUUUUGAUCGACAAGAACAAUAGUCGUUUGACCAAGCAAGAGAUUCACUGGUCUUUCUUAUGGUAGGUCAUGGCGACAUGGAUGUAUGACCAAAGUAUCAGUGCGUGCACCUGCCCUGCUCACACGAAGUGGGAGGUGGGGCAAGCACCCUAGCUAGGUAGCUACGGCCUUAUGUUGUGGCCAUGACCUACCAUCCAAGGGGGCUUUAUGGUUUGCGAGGCAGGUGCCACCAAAGUUUUGCAUUCUGUAUUCAAACAUCACACACUAUAUUCCUACAUAUAUUGGCCACUUCCAGAUUGUUGUUGACUUCUGGCCCCUCUCAUCGAUCUUUGAGGCCGCGCCCAAAAAUGGGCCAGCGCGGUCAAAGUUGUGCAUUGGAAAUUUGAACACCACACACCACCCUUUUCAUUCAUAUAUAUCUGGGCCACAUGCUGGUGUGGUUGUCUUAUGACCCUCACAUUUUUUUGCUGCGAAAUGGUGCUAUAUAUGAAGACUCGGAUGAUGCUCAACGGACAUGGGUGCACUGGCUUAACCAUGUGCGAUGCCAGUGUGUUGUGAAAUCACCACGACUGCGCAAGCAUGGGAAAGGGUGGAGGUACUGGCUUAACCGUGUGCGAUGCUAGUGUUCUAUGAAAUUACCACGAGUGUGCAAGCGCGAGCAAGGAUGGAGGUAGUGGCUUAACCGUGUGCGAUGCUAGUGCGCUGUAAAAUCACCACCUGCGCAUGCUAAAGGUGGGUAGUUUAUUUAGGAUGAAUUCCAUGAUUGCGUCUGAAAAUUAGGACGAACCAUGUGCACUAGAUCAGCUAGCUAAAAAUCAAAAAACAAACUACCCGCGUUGAGCGAUGCAAAAAUCGGUGGUUCCGCCGCUUUUCCUUAUUGUCAUACACGCAUAUUCUUUUUGGACCGUGUGCGAUCUUGGGUGCUCCUGCCCCACAUCAAUUCCUUUACCCAUUUUUUUGUAGCCGCAGUAUUUCAACCGUCGCCCCCACUCCUCCUCCACCGCCCUUAUAGUAUAAUUCCAGUAGCUGAUGCAGUUGAACCGUCUCCCUCCCUUGCCACGUGGCGCGNNNNNNNNNNNNNNNNNNNNNNNNNNNNNNNNNNNNNNNNNNNNNNNNNNNNNNNNNNNNNNNNNNNNNNNNNNNNNNNNNNNNNNNNNNNNNNNNNNNNNNNNNNNNNNNNNNNNNNNNNNNNNNNNNNNNNNNNNNNNNNNNNNNNNNNNNNNNNNNNNNNNNNNNNNNNNNNNNNNNNNNNNNNNNNNNNNNNNNNNNNNNNNNNNNNNNNNNNNNNNNNNNNNNNNNNNNNNNNNNNNNNNNNNNNNNCCCGCAGUCCGGCCGCCGCCCCGCCGCGCCGGCCCCUUCCUCGCCGCCCAGCGCCGCCUCCUCGUCGUCCGCGCCCGGAUUCGGCGAGAUCCGGCUGGAUCCGCCCCAGAGCUACCUCGCCAGCGUCUUCCCCGGCCAACUCUGGCCACCACGGCACCAUCUCCGACGAGAUCUCGUCAGGGUGGACGAGAUCCACCCGUUCCUCGAACCAAACAGCCUCCCCACAUCCCGAUCCACUCCGUCCCGGAACCAUCUCGUCCCGCGUUGACUUUCGUUGAGGUGAAAUUUCACCACGUCCCGGAGCUCUCGAUAUUUGUAUGCCCUGUUCAUCAUGCCAUAACUUCAUGCUCGGAGCUCCGAUUUGUGCAUAUAAUAUGUCAAAAUGUUCAUCAUGAGAUGCUAUUCAUUUUGUUCCAUUCUGCUAUGCUUGUUUGAGUUCAUAUUGAUGCCUAAAUAAUCUUUGCAAGAAUGCUAUAUGAUGUUAACUACUAUCUGUUAACAGAACUUGGUGAUUUGUCUUUUUCAUUGCAUUUUAUGUGUGCAUCCUAUGAGCAUGAGCUCUAUAGGUGUUUUGAUCUACUACAUGCCAUCUUUAAAGAGGUGCUUGCCAUGUAUUUUUGUGAUCAGUGUGGUGGCUAGCACAAGCAUGCUAACUAGGCUUCGUGAUGUUGCUGAUUUCAGUCCCUGUUGUGCUGUUAUUUUGAUGCCAUGUAAACUUGAUGCUACUGUGAUAUCCAUGCUUGUUUUGGGAUACUUUAGUAAGGAUGUUUUGAACAUAUGGUUAUGCUCUAUCCAUCCAUGCCCCUUUUUGCAAUUAUCGAGUAAUCUAGCAUGUCAUGUUCUUGCUCUAAUUUUGCUAUAAAAUGUUCCUGGCAGUAUGUUAAAAUGCUAAUCAAUUUUGCGAUGGUUGUUGCUAGUGAUCCAAGCAUGCUAUGAACUUGUUCUUGCCAUGGUUAGUUUUAUAAACAUGUCUCCUUGCUGAUGCUAUGAUUUUCUUGUCAUGCAAUGACUUGUGAUGAGUGAAUCGAGCUCGCAAACAUGCCUUCAUAAUUCUGUUAAUGCCAUGCUCUGUUUUCUGCUGUCUGAAUCUGUUAAUGAAACUUGCUAUGUUUACAUGGGUGCCAUCAUAUCUUCUGAUCCUUGUUGGCUCAUGGUCUCUAAGGGAAUUUUGUUCUAUGCAUUUAGUAGUAUCAUUCCAUGCAUUAAGUUUCUAUGAUAUGUUCCUGUAUCAUGAUAUUUGUUUGCCCUAAAUAUUGCUUCCUGAUGCUGUUUCUGCCAUGUUAGUAUUUUCACCAAGUCUGUGGUGCUGUUAUCUUUUGCACUUUUGCCAUGCUUGUUUGAACCUGCUAUUGUGUGAUCUAGCCGUAGCUCAGUGUUCAUCUUUUGUCAAGAAUCUCUCGUAGAUCUCUGCCAUAUGCUUUGUUGCUACAUUGGAGUGCAGUAGUUCCGUUUCUUGUUGCAUUCUAGAUGACAUCAUGCUGUUAAUCGCAGAAUUGUGUCAUUCUUGUUUUGCUUGCCAUUUGCAAACCGUGCAUCCGUUUCCGGUGAUCUUUAUAUCGACUUCAACCGAAAUCAUCUCAUCUUUCCAGAGGCAUACUUGGUUUACCAAGUUGAUGUCUUGUUCAUCAUUUUCCUUCCGGAGCACGCAUAUGCCUUGCAUAUCACAUCUCGCAUAUCAUGCCAUGUAUUGCCUCAUGUUGCUUGUGCAUUGCACCGUGAGUGAUUGUGAUUCCAUUGCUUGUGUUCUUGCUUUUGGUAGAGCCAGGAGACGAGUACGUGAAUGAGGAACCUGUUGAGUAUGCUAACGAGGAUCAAGCUUUCGACAACUCUGAGAACUUUGUAGGCAAGAUGACCAUACCCUCGAUAUCACUUCUAUCUUCGCUUUGCUAGUUGUUCGCUCUAUCGCUAUGUUUGCGCUACCUACCACUUGUUUAUCAUGCCUCCCAUAUUGCCAUGUCAAGCCUCUAACCAUCGUUUCCUAGCAAACCGUUGUUUGGCUAUGUCACCGCUUUUGCUCAGCCCCUCUUAUAGCGUUGCUAGUUGCAGGUGAAGAUGAAGUUUGUUCCUUGUUGGAACAUGGAUAUUUUGGGAUAUCACAAUAUCUCUUGUUUAAUUAAUGCACCUAUACACAUGGUAAAGGGUGGAAGGCUCGGCCUUAUGCCUGGUGUUUUGUUCCACUCUUGCACCCUAGUUUCUGUCAUACCGGUGUUAUGUUCCUUGAUUUUGCGUUCCUUACGCGGUUGGGUGAUUUAUGGGACCCCCUUGACAGUUCGCCUUGAAUAAAACUCCUCCAGCAAGACCCAACCUUGGUUUUACCAUUUGCCACCUAAGCCUUUUUCCCUUGGGUUUUCGCGAGCCCGAGGGUCAUCUUUAUUUUAACCCCCCCGGGCCAGUGCUCCUGAGUGUUGGUCUGAAACGGGCAGACUGCGGGGCCACCAAGGGGCAACUCGAGGUACGGUUUUACUUGUAGCCUGACCUAUCCAUUGUUCCCUAAGAAUGAGAUAUGUGCAGCUCCUAUCGGGAUUUGUCGGCACAGUCGGGCGGCUUUGCUGGUUUUUUUUUACCAUUGUCGAAAUGUCUUGUCAACCAGGAUUCCGAGACUGAUCGGGUCUUCAUGGGAGAAGGAAUAUCCUUUGUUGACCGUGAGAGCUUGUGAUGGUCUAAGUUGGGACACCCCUGCUGGGUAUUAUCUUUCAAAAGCCGUGCUCGCGGUUAUGUGGCAGACAAGAAUUUGUUAAUGUCCGGUUGUAGAGAACUUGACACUUUACUUAGUUAAAAUGCAUCAACCACGUGUGUAGCCGUGAUGGUCUCUUUUUGGCGGAGUCCGGGAAGUGAACACGGUUUGGGUUAUGUAUGAACUAAGUAGUUUCAGGAUCACUUCUUGAUCACUUCUAGUUUCUCGACCGAUGCGUUGCCUCUCUUCUCGCUCUUACUUGUGUAUGUUAGCCACCAUAUAUGCUUAGUGCUGGAUGCAGCUCCACCACCUUACCCUUUUCCUACCAUUGAGCUUAAAUAGUCUUGAUCUCGCAGGUGUGAGAUUGCUGAGUCCCUGUGACUCAGAUUCUACCAAAACAGUUGCAGGUGCCGAGGAUACCAGUGCUAGUGACGUAACCGAGCUCAAGUGGGAGUUCGAUGAGGACCUUGGUCGUUACUAUGUUUCGUUACGGGAUGAUCAGUAGUGGAGCCCAGUUGGGACAAUCGGGGAUCUAGCAUUUGGGGUUAUCUUGUUUUCAUUUGGAUUUGACCGUAGUCGGUCUAUGAGUGUAUUUUGAAUGGUGUAUUUAUUUAUUUAUGUAUUGUGUGAAGUGGCGAUUGUAAGCCAACUCUCUUUAUCCCAUUCUUGUUCAUUACAUGGGAUUGUGUGAAGAUGACCCUUCUUGCGACAAAACCUACAAUGCGGUUAUGCCUCUAAGUCAUGCCUCGACACAUGAGAGAUAUAGCCGCAUCGUGGGCGUUACAAGUUGGUAAUCAGAGCCAUCCCCGUCUUGGGAGCCCCCCUGCUUGAUCGAAUCGCUGGCGUUGUUGAGUCUAGAACAAAAAUGUUUUGAGUCUUAGGAUUAUAUAUAUUAGAGAGUAGGAUUCUUUUUACUCCUCAGUCCCUUCGUCGCUCUGGUGAGGUCUCAUGACAUAGAUGUUUUGACUUUCUUCUCCUCAAAUUUCACUAAUUUGUUUUAGGAUCAUGCGGGUAUCUUGGGAUCGUUCCGAUAGUCUUGUGACGAGAACAUUGUUCUUGCUACCUCCUGACAUUGAGGGGUUGUGGCAGUGUCCCGGGGAGUUGAGCUCCGAGGUGUUGUUGUCACAAUUUUAUCGUUGCAGUUCUGGAAUACCUGAGUUUCGCCGACAUCGAAAAUCUCUUUUAUGCAGUUGUUGGUGAGAUAACCUCGACGUCAGCCAGUACUGGGGAGUUCGGGAGUAUUGCCAUAACUCGUAUAACGGAUGGUUUUUCGAAGGUUGAGGUACACAAUUUCCGAAGGUUUCUUGGUUAUGUGUUGACGGAUGGAUACAGCUGGAUGUAGGGAUUGUUAGUUUGGGUGAGAUAUAUUGCUUCCCCUGUAUACCCAACACCUGAUUGCAUAACUAGAAAGUUUCGGGAGUUUAUAGGUGGGAUUCAAGUAGCUCUAGCAUUUCUUCCCACAGAUAUUUGGUUUGUGAUUGGGUAAUCCUUACCACUUAUUUGUUUCAAUCGUACCUUGGUAUUCCUUUCAUCAAUCUCUUAUCAAGUGGCUUCUCACCUUAAUGGACGUGUGAUGUUAGCUUUGGGAAUUCAUUCGUUCAUCCUUGUUCGAAUGUUUAUUGUGAACAAUAUAUGUUGCAAUUUCUAGCCUUUGAUUCUACUUAGCUAUCAUGCCAAUGGUGGUUCUAACGAAUGUCAUCUUCCUCAGGAUGGCUCUGCCAACUCGCAACAACCCGGAUCGGGGUGAAGAAGGUCGAUCGAACCCACCACCUCCGCCACCUCCUCCGCCUCCGGAGGCAUGGCAAGCUGUCGUGGCGGCCACCAACGCCAGUACCCAGAUGCUUUUGCAAUUCUUGCAAGAAUUCAACCAAGGCCAAGGCAACCAAGGGAAUCAAGGUCAAGGGCAUUUCAAUCAUCAGCCUUAGUUUCCUACCCUCAACCAGUUCCUUGCAAAUCAGCCGAAGUCUUUCAGGUACUCUGCCGAGGCCACAGACGCCGAUGAUUGGCUCGUGGAUAUCAACAAGCAUUUUGAAUGUAGCAAUGUCAGGCCUGAGGACUACGUCAAGUUCACUUCUUUUCAGCUCAAGGACCAAGCAGCUGAUUGGUUCCGACAAUACAAAGAUUCCAGAGGAGGUAGAGUGAUUACUUGGACUAACUUCUGUCGGGACUUUAAAGCUCACCACAUUCCUACCAGUGUUGUUGAGAGCAAGCAUGAGGAGUUCCGCAAUCUCAAGCAAGGCAACAUGUCCGUGUACGAAUACAACAAGCAGUUUCAGAAACUUGCUUGCUUCGCUAAACAAGACGUUCCUGAUGAAAAGAGUAUGAUUUAUCAAUUCAGAGGUGGCCUCAGAGAGGAUCUACAGUUAGCUCUCGUUCUUGGUGAGCCUACUCAGUUCGAUCAAUUCUACAAUAUGGCCCUCAAGCAAGAAGGUGCUCAACUCAAGUGUGAGGCUUCUAAGAAGAGAAUCAGGGAUGCAGUUCAGUCUUCUUCUUCCUCACAAGUGGCAGCUAAGCAGCAGAAGUUCUACCUUCCUCCUCCUCCGUUUCGUCAGCCUUACCAGCAGAAGAACUCAGGUGGUCAUGGAUCUUCCCACGCACCCAAUCCAGCUAUCAGAACAAGUCAAAUUCUCAAGCUCCAAGGUCAAAUGCUCCUUAUCAUCGUCCGCUCUCAGAGGUGACUUGCAACAAGUGCCACCAGAAGGGUCACUACGCAAACAAGUGCUUCAACCAAAGGCGCCUUCCGCCUCCUCCUCCUGUGAGAUCUUCAAGCAAUGCAAUGGUCAAGCACAAUCCAAAGCAUGCAAAGGUGAACAUGAUGAAUGCAGCUCAGGCAGAGGAUUCUUCAGAUGUGAUCAUGGGUAACCUUCCAGUUAACUCUAUUCCUGCUAGAGUUUUAUUUGAUUCUGGUGCAUCGCAUUGUUUCAUGUCAGCACCGUUCUUUACCAAGCAUGAUUUCACUUUGGAAUAUUUGGAUAGACCUCUAGCAAUUGUUUCCCCGUGUAAGCACAUGAGUUCUCGUUUGAUGGUUCCGAAUGUCGGUAUCAAGAUGGGCAAUUAUAAAUUUAUGUCUUCUCCAAUUGUUCUUGGCGACUCUGAUAUUGAUCUAAUUCUUGGGAUGGAUUGGCUUUCUAAGCACAAGGCUAAGCUUGAUUGUGCUACAAGGGAGAUUCAAUUGACACUCUCUUCUGAGGAGGUGAUCAUCUAUGCCGCUCGGGACGAAACCAUUCGGUUAUUCUCUCUCAAUGAGAAGGGCGAGUUAGAUGCAAUCUCUCAGAUUCGAGUCGUUUGUGAGUACCAAGAUGUCUUUCCAGAAGAGCUUCCGGGUAUGCCUCCGCACCAGCCAGUCGAGUUCGUUAUCGAUCUUGAGCCUGGCACUGAACUCGUUUGCAAGCGUCCAUACAAGCUUGGACCUAAAGACCUGAAGGAACUGAAGAAACAGCUUGAUGAACAAGAGCGUCUGGGUUUGAUCAGACCGAGUUCAUCUCCAUGGGGUUCUGGAGUUCUUUUUGUCCAGAAGAAGGAUGGCACGGACCGACGGUGCGUCGAAUACCAUCCAUUCCAACAUUAAUGAGCUAUUCGAGAAACUCAAAGGUGCUAAAGUAUUCUCCAAGCUUGACCUUCGUAUGGGUUAUCAUCAGAUUCGCAUUCGUGAACAAGAUAUUCCCAAGACAACAUUCAGAACAAGUUUUGGUUCUUAUGAAUAUACUGUCAUGUCUUUCGGCCUUGUCAAUGCUCCUCCAACAUUCUCUCGAAUGAUGAACUACAUCUUCAACCCCUACACCAAUGAAUUCGUCUUGGUGUAUCUCGAUGAUAUCUUGGUCUUCUCUAAGAAUAAGAAGGAUCAUGCUAAACAUUUGCGAUUGGUGCUCGACAAGCUCAGAGUGUAUCAAUUCUAUGCCAAGUUUUCCAAAUGUGAGUUCUGGCUUGAUGAAUUUCUUUACCUUGGUCACAUCAUCUCCGCCAAGGGCAUUGCUAUUAAUCCCGAGAAGGUGUCUGCAAUUGUGAAUUGGGAACCUCCUCAGAAUGUCGAGCAGCUCCGCAGUUUUCUUGGUCUUGCAAGCUAUUGCCGAAGAUUCGUUGAGAAUUUCUCAAAGAUUGCAAAGACUCUUUCGAACCUCCUCUAGAAGCAUGUCAAGUAUGCAUGUACGCCUGAGUGUGACGUUGCUUUCAACACUAUCAAAGAGAAGCUAGUCACAGCUCCUGUCUUGACUCCUCCUGACAAAUCCAAGGCAUUUGAAGUUUUCUGUGAUGCUUCUCUUCAAGGUCUCGGUGCUGUGUUAAUGCAAGAGAAUAAAGUUGUGGCCUAUACCUCUCGCCAGUUGAAGCCCAACGAAAGAACUACCCCACUCACGAUCUUGAGUUGGCGGCAGUUGUCCAUGCAUUAAUAACAUGGAGACAACUCUUGUUGGGAAGGCAAGUGGACAUAUUCACAGAUCACAAGAGCCUCAAGUAUAUCUUCACCCAACCCAACCUCAACCUCAGGCAAACUCGAUGGGUCGAAAUGAUUCAAGAGUACAAUCCAAGCAUUGAAUAUACUCCUAGCAAGGCGAAUGUGAUUGCAGAUGCUCUGAGCAGAAAGGCUUAUUGCAACAGCUUAAUUCUCAAGCCCUUACAACCGGACCUUUGUGAAGCUUUCCGCAAACUGAAUCUCCAAGUUGUUCCUCAAGGCUUUCUUGCCAACCUCCUAGUCUCUCCUACUUUGGAAGAUUAGAUUCGUGAGGCACAACUCCUAGAUACCAUGGUGAAGAAGGUGAAAGGUGGUAUUGAGAAGGGCAUUCCCAAAUACAAGUGCUAUCGCUUGGAUGACAAAGAUACUCUAUUCUUCGAGGAUCGAAUUGUGGUUCCUAAAGGCGAUCUAAGGAAAGUAAUUAUGAACGAGGCACACAAUUCCCUUCUAUCCACUCAUCCAGGAAGUACAAAGAUGUACCAUGACCUCAAGCAGUCGUAUUGGUGGACUCAAAUGAAGCGAGAAAUUGCUCGAUUCAUGAAUGAAUGUGACGUCUGCAGAAGGGUGAAAGCAGAACACCAACGACCAGCUGGUCUCCUCCAACCUCUUGCUAUUCCAGAAUGGAAGUUUGAUCAUACUGAAAUGGACUUUGUUACUGGAUUUCCAAAGUCCAAGCGUGGGAAUGAUGCUAUUUUCGUUGUCAUUGACAAGCUUACUAAAGUGGCUCAUUCCCUUCCUAUCAAAGAAUAUCUAUCAUAGCAGCUCAGCUGGCAGAGUUAUACACCUCCAGAAUUGUCUCCUUGCACGGUAUUCCACAAUUGAUGUCUUCAGACCACGGAUGAAUUUUCACCUCUAAGUUCUGGGACUCCUUUGAGAAGGCCAUGGGCACCAACAUUCGCUUGAACACAUCUUUCCAUCCUCAAACAAGUGGCCAAGUUGAGCGAGUCAAUCAAAUCCUUGAAGAUAUGCUUAGGACUUGUGUCAUUUCCUUUGGCAUGAAGUGGGAAGAUUGUAUUCCAUAUGCCGAGUUCUCCUACAACAACAGCUUCCAAGCGAGUUCGGGCAAGGCCCCAUUCGAAAUUCUAUAUGGCAGAAAGUGCCGUACUCCUCUCAAUUAGUCCGAGACUGGUGAACGCCAACUUCUUGGCAACGACUUCAUCACAGAAGCUGAAGAAAUGUGUAAAGUCAUCCGUGAAAAUAUCAAAGCCGCGCAAUUGCGCCAGAAGAGUUACUAUGAUAGCAAGCACCGUGACUUGGCUUUCGAGAUUGGAGACCAUGUCUACCUCCGCGUCUCUCCAAUGAAAGGCACUCGUCGCUUCGAUAUCAAAGGGAAGCUUGCCCCUAGAUACGUGGGUCCUUUCAAGAUCUUUGGCAAAAGAGGCGAUCUCGCCUAUCAACUUGAGCUUUCAUCCAACUUUGCAAACGUGCACAAUGUGUUUCACGUGUCACAGCUUCGCAAGUGCUUCAAGACGCAUGAGCGCACUCUCAACUUCGAAGAGAUUGACCUCCAAGAAGAUCUGUCUUAUCAUGAGCACCCCGUAGUUAUUCUUGAAGAAACCGAGCACAAGACUCGCAACAAGUCAAUCAAAUUCCUGAAAGUGAAGUGGACACACCAUUCCGACCGAGAAGCCACCUGGGAGCGCGAGGAUCACCUCCGUUCCGAAUAUCCAGAGUUCUUUCAGUCCUAGAUCUCGGGACGAGAUCCUCUUGUAGUGGUGGAGUGUUGUAACACCCCGGAUGUAACUUUCCAUAUUUGUAACUCCAACUCUUGCCAUUUUCGGCCAUGUGUUAUGAUAUUCCCUCCGUGGUUGGGUUUUUUUUCGUUUUGCAUUUUGUUCAUGUCAUGCAUCUCAUAUCAUGUCAUCAUGUGCAUCUCAUUUGCAUACGUGUUCGUCUCAUGCAUCUGAGCUUUUUCCUUGUUGUCCGUUUCGCAAUCCGACACUCCCACAUGCACCCGGCGCACCCCUCUUGUCUCUUUUCAUGAUCAGGAGAAAAACAUUCUCGGAGUGGACUGAGGUUUGCCAAGUGGCCUUGGUGCACCACCGGUAGACCACCUGUCAAGUUUCGUUCCAUUUGGAGGCCGUUUGAUGCUCCAACGGUUAACCGGGUAGCCGCAAAGGCCUCUUGUGUGUUGCAGCCCAACACCCCUCCAAAACAGCCCAAUAACCCAUCUAAACCCCCUCCAUGCUCUCCAUCGUCGGAUCAUGAUCGUGUGGGCGAAAACCGCACCUCAUUUGGAGUCUCCAAGCUCCCUCUACCUAUAAAUAUGUGACCCCCCCCCAAUUUUUUUCACAAUCCAAACCCUAGGCACCGCUCCCCUCGCGCCGCUGGACAUGUCCGGGCAACGCCGAACGCGUCCUCCACCGCCUCCGCACCACUCCCGCAUUGCCAUGUGGCACGCCGCCGCUUCCCACCGCCGCCGGCANNNNNNNNNNNNNNNNNNNNNNNNNNNNNNNNNNNNNNNNNNNNNNNNNNNNNNNNNNNNNNNNNNNNNNNNNNNNNNNNNNNNNNNNNNNNNNNNNNNNNNNNNNNNNNNNNNNNNNNNNNNNNNNNNNNNNNNNNNNNNNNNNNNNNNNNNNNNNNNNNNNNNNNNNNNNNNNNNNNNNNNNNNNNNNNNNNNNNNNNNNNNNNNNNNNNNNNNNNNNNNNNNNNNNNNNNNNCGGAGCUACCUCGCCGACGUCUUCCCCGGCCAACUCCGGCCACCACCGCACCAUCUCCGGCGAGAUCUCGUCGGGGUGGACGAGAUCCACCCGUUCCUCGAACCAAACAGCCUCCCCGCGUCCUGAUCCACUCCGUCUCGGAACCAUCUCGUCCCGCGUUGACUUUCGCGGAGGUGAAAUUUCACCAAGUCCCGAAGCUCUCUGAUAUUUUUAUGCCAUGUUAAUCUUGCCAUAACUUCAUGCUCGGAUAUCCGAUUUGUGCAUAUAAUAUGUCAAAAUGUUCAUAAUGAGAUGAUCUUAAUUUUGUUCCAUUGUGCCAUGCUUGUUUGAGGUCAUCUAGAUGCCUAAAUAAUCGUUGCAAGGGUGCUAUAUGAUGUUAACUGUUGUCUGUUAACAGAACUUGGUGAUUUGUCUUUUUCAUUGCAUUUUAUGUGUGCAUCCUAUGAGCAUGAUCUCUACAGGUGUUUUGAUCUACAACAUGCCAUAUUUAGAGUGGUGCUUGCCAUGUAGUUUUUUCAUCAGUGUGGUGGCUAGCACAACCAUGCUAACCAGGCUUCGUGAUGUUGCUGAUUUCAGUCCCUGUUCUGCUGUUAUUUUGAUGCCAUAUAAACUUGAUGCUACAGUGAAAUCCAUGCUUGUUUUGGGAUACUUCAGUAAGGAUGUUUUAAACAUAUGGUUAUGCUCUAUCCAUCCAUUCUCCUGCUUGCAAUUAUGGAGUAAUCUAGCAUGUCAGUUUCUUGCUCUACUUUUGCUAUAAAAUGUUCCUGGCAGAAUGUUAACAUGCUAAUCAAUUUUGUGAUGGUUGUUGCUAGCGAUCCAAGCAUGCUAUGAACUUUUUCUUGCCAUGGUUAGUUUCAUAAACAUGUCUUGUUGCUGACGCUAUUCUUAUCUUGUCAUGCAAUGAUUUGUGAUGAGUGAAUCGAGCUCGCAAAGAUGCCUUCAUAAUUCUGUUAAUGCCAUGCUCUAUUUUCUGCUAAGUCUGAAUCUGUUAACGAAACUUGCUAUGUUUACAUGGGUGCCAUCAUAUCUUCUGGUCCUUUUUGGCUCAUGGUCAGUAAGAGACUUUUGUUCUAUGCAUUUAGUAGUAUCAUGCCAUGCCUUAAGUUUCUAUGAUAUAUUCCUUUAGCAUGAUGUUUGCUUACCCUAAACAUUGCUUCCUGAUGCUGUUUCUGCCAUGUUAGUAUUUUCACCCAAGUCUGUGGUGCUGUUAUCUCUUGUAGAUCACUGCCAAAUGCUUUGUUGCUAUGUUGGAGUGCAGUAGCUCCUUUUCUUAUUGCAUUCUAGAUGACAUCAUGCUGUUAAUCGCAGAAUUGUGUCAUUUUGGUUUUGCUUGCUAUUUGCAAACCGUGCAUCCGUUUCCGGUGAUCUUUAUAUCAACUUCAACCGAAAUCAUCUCAUCUUUCCAGCGGCAUACUUGGUUUACCAAGUUGAUGUCUUAUUCAUCAUUUUCCUUCCGGAGCAUGCAUAUGCAUUGCAUAUCACAUCUCGCAUAUCAUGCCAUGUAUUGCCUCAUGUUGCUUGUGCAUUGCACUAUGAGUGAUUGUGAUUCCAUUGCUUGUGUUCUUGCUUUGGGUAGAGCCGGGAGACGAGUAAGUGAACUGUUGAGUACGCUAACGAGGAUCAACCUUUUGACAACUCCGGGAACUUUGCAGGCAAGAUGACCAUACCCUCGAUAUCACUUCUAUCUUUGCUUUGCUAGUUGUUCGCUCUAUCGCUAUGUUUGCGCUGCCUACCACUUGUUUAUCAUGCCUCCCAUAUUACCAUGUCAAGCCUCUAAGCAUCCUUUCCUAGCAAACCGUUGUUUGGCGAUGUCAUCGCUUUUGCUCAGCCCCUCUUAUAGCGUUGCUAGUUGGAGGUGAAGAUGAAGUUUGUUCCUUGUUGGAACAUGGAUAUUUUGGGAUAUCACAAUAUCUCUUGUUUAAUUAAUGCACCUAUAUACUUGGUAAAGGGUGGAAGGCUCGGCCUUAUGCCUGGUGUUUUGUUCCACUCUUGCGCCCUAGUUUCCGUCAUACCGGUGUUAUGUUCCUUGAUUUUGCGUUCCUUACGCGGUUGGGUAAUUUAUGGGACCCCCUUGACAGUUCGCCUUGAAUAAAACUCCUCCAACAAGGCCCAACCUUGGUUUUACCAUUUGCCACCUAAGCCUUUUUCCCUUGGGUUUUCGCGAGCCCGAGGGUCAUCUUUAUUUUAACCUCCCCAGGCCAGUGCUCCUCUGAGUGUUGGUCCAAAACGGGCAGACUGCGGGGCCACCACGGGGCAACUCGAGGUCUGGUUUUACUUGUAGGCUGACCUAUCCGUUGUGCCCUGAGAACGAGAUAUGUGCAGCUCCUAUCAGGAUUUGUCGGCACAGUCGGGCGGCUUUGCUGGUCUUGUUUUACCAUUGUCAAAAUGUCUUGUAAACCGGGAUUCCGAGACUGAUCGGGUCUUCCUGGGAGAAGGAAUAUCCUUCGUUGACCGUGAGAGCUUGUGAUGGGCUAAGUUGGGACACCCCUGUAGGGUAUUAUCUUUCAAAAGCCGUGCCCGCGGUUAUGUGGCAGACGGGAAUUUGUUAACGUCCGGUUGUAGAGAACUUGACACUUGACUUAAUUAAAAUGCAUCAACCGUGUGUGUAGCCGUGAUGGUCUCUUUUCGGCGGAGUCCGGGAGGUAAACACGGUUUGGGUUAUGUACGAAUGUAAGUAGUUUCAGGAUCACUUCUUGAUCACUUCUAGCUUCUUGACCUUUGCGUUGCCUCUCUUCUUGCUCUUACUUGCGUAUGCUAGCCACCAUAUAUGCUUAGUGCUGGAUGUAGCUCCACCACCUUACCCUUUUCCUACCCUUGAGCUUAAAUAGUCUUGAUCUCGCGGGUGUGAGAUUGCUAAGUCCCCGUGACUCAUAGACUCUACCAAAACAGUUGCAGGUGCCGAGGAUACUAGUGCAAGUGACGUAACCGAGCUCAAGUGGGAGUUCGACGAGGACCUUGGUCGUUACUAUGUUUCGUUUCCGGAUGAUCAGUAGUGGAGCCCAGUUGGGACGAUCGAGGAUCUAGCAUUUGGGGUUAUCUUGUUUUCAUUUGGAUUUGACCGUAGUCGGUCUAUGAGUGUAUUUUGAAUGGUGUAUGAAUUUAUUUAUGUAUUGUGUGAAGUGGCGAUUGUAAGCCAACUCUCUUUAUCCCAUUCUUGUUCAUUACAUGGGAUUGUGUGAAGAUGACCCUUCUUGCGACAAAACCUACAAUGCGGUUAUGCCUCUAAGUCGUGCCUUGACACAUGAGAGAUAUAGACGCAUCGUGGGCAUUACAGAUAUGCCGUUGGCAGGAUGACUAAGAUUCGUCACAGCAAGCUCUACAUCGACGACGCUGGCUGGGGCCCCGAGGCCGACUCAAUCGAGUAUGGGUAUCGAGUCCCCUUCGGUGGGAUUCACGUCUUCAUCGGCAAGAUUGGCGGAUCAGAGCCUGAGCCGGACAUCUGCACCGACAUCGUCGAGCUGGCUCGGUGCACGCAACCCGCCCGGAUCCAGCCCGACUGGAAGCAUGCUUUCAUCGGUUUCGUGCAUGGCACCGAUCUUUGGAAGGAUUCUAUAUCUGGAGGAGAGACUCUCGUCUACUCAGGUGAUGAGUCCUCGAUCGGAGAGACAUAGUUGAUUUAUCAGCUUCCAGACGGCGGGCUUGGGGGCUAUUCUGAUGGUCUCUGUAUUCCGGACCCCUAUGACCCACCGUGCGGGGCUGCUAUCUUCAUGGCUGGCACAUGUCUGGCUCUAAAGUCAUCAACACCUGCAGCUAUGACAUAUGGAUCGACUGCUGCUGUGACAGCUGGGGCUGACGACUCAGCUAGACCACCGGCUCAGGUCUUAUCAGAUCUCUUGGGUACUUUGAUAACUUUGCAAGCAACAGAGGUGACUGCAGCGAAUCAAGUAGAGCGCAAUGCAGAAAUUUUAAAGAUUCAUGCGAAGAUCACUAAGGCCCAGGAGGAUAUCAACGCAGAGAAUACUAGGAUGGCAGAGGAACGGACUCAGAUCACGGUUGAAUUAGAGCAUGUAAGGACAGAAGCUUGAUGUUUAAGUCUGUAUCAGAACGCCUGUAACGCAGUUCUUCGUAGGAGGCACUAGACUCGCUUGCGUUUGCAUUAUGAGCCCAUAAAUAUGUUUAACACAAUAGGGGCAGGGCCAAGCACUCCAGAUACGAGGGUGAACUCUAAGUUAAACUCGGAGGUGCCUGGAAGCCGAGCAACGGCUCAGCCUAGUCAGCCUAAGCUGGCACAGAGGGAGGAUUGGGCGCCUACCCCCCCCCCCCCAAAUCAGACACCGCUGCAGCGUUUCUGACGCCACCACUAGGACACUUUUCUAACCCGGUGGAUAACAUGUUAGCAGCGGCAACCCGACUGGUGGCUAUUACGAUCGAUGGCGAGUCACCAGUUGUGGUGGAGACUCGAACAUAGUUUAACUCCUUCAAACGGCUGUUGCACAGUAGGUGGUUUACUCAUACAGCCGUGAUCUUGUUCACUUGACUCCUCAUCCAAGUCGAAGUUACAUUCGGCAUGUUGAGUAGCCCGCAGUUUCCAGCAGAGAAUGGCAUCGUAACCCGCUCUAUGAUGAUAACCCACCCCAUGAUGAUAACCUACUAAUCAAUGAUGAAGCAAUUGUGGAUCAAGCUAGAGCUCGUCCUGAGUCAGAAGCGGCGGCCCAGUAGGGGGUUUGUUAGCAUCCUCCGAUGACUCAUUCGGCUUCGGUACGAGCUGGGAUGAUUUCCAGGAUGGUUGGAUUGCCGUGUUUGUUACCGGCUUUGUGUAAUGAACGUGUGCCUAAGGAUUUCAAGGGUCCUCGUAAAGUGCCUAAUUAUACAGCAGAUCUUCCUCUAGAGGGUUGGAUUUAAAGUUAUGAGUUAGCCAUGGAGAUGUUGGAUGUUAAUGAUGUGGUCUGUGACAAGUACUUUACUAUGAUAUUGGAUGGGCCUUGGCGCCGGCACCUUCGAGCUCGAGGUGAGACCAGAGGAGAACUUUGCAUAACCAUCCUCGGGGGUUGGGAGCGGGUCCUUGAACCCUCCCCUGCAGAUCGACUUAAGCACUUCACAAGCCCUGAGCUCGAGAGCUUAAAAUGCGUCGCGGUCCGCCACCGCCAUCGCGUCGGCGUUGGCAAGGAUCUUCUUCUCCCGGGCAUCUAGGCGAGCCGUCACCUCGGAGACAUGCUUAGAGUGGGAUGCCUAGGCCUCGACGACCUCCUUCGAUAGCUUGCUCAGGCGCUUGCGCUCUACGGCCUGCUCAACGACCACCUUCGACAGCGCGGAGUCGCGGUCCGCAAGCUUCACCUCACGGGCCUUGAGGCCGUCCUCCCGCUGCUAAAGCUGCUGGCCUGUUCCUCCUGGAGCGCCUUCAGAUUUGCCUCUGCCUCGCUACAACGCUUGACGGCUGCCGCUGCCUCAGCCAACGCGUCAUCGCGAGCCGCCCUAGCCUCGACGAUUUCCCUCUUGCUCUCCAUUGUAGAGGCCUCGGCCUGGAUCCAGGCUUCUUUGGUCGCUAUGUUGACCUGGAGCCACGCUGAGACGAGCCCCAGGAGCUCCUUAGCAUGGUGCCUGUCAGCAUCUCGGAGGUCCGCCUCAAACCGGCCGAGCGCGGCAUAAGCAUCAGCCAAGGCCCCAUCUCUAAUCAGGGCGCCACAGCUCGCAAGCAUGAGGGCCUGACGAGGGAGUAGCGCUGGCACAAAAGUUGGGAUAACGACCAAUGAGGCCAUGGUACGGUCGACUUCAGAUGCCAGGGUCUCCGGGCCCUUCUCCGUACCGCCCGGCUCCUGCGACACGGCAAGAGCGGCUGGCGCCACGACCUGCUAGAUUACGGGGGUCGGCACUGCCUGAGGCUGUGCCGCCACACGCCCCAAUUCGGGUUCAGCCAGCGGAGGAUGGGGCGUCGCCCCCUCCCCCGGGGUCGAGGCUGCUUCGACCUCGGUAGGAGGCAGUACUUGGCUAGCUCCCACGUCCUUGUGGGCCGGCCCUCCGGGCGGCACCGAUCAAGCCCUAGGAAGGGUGGCAUGCCAUGCGCCCAAGGGUUGCGUCGGGUCAGCACAGCAUGCCCCGCGCCCGCCAAGGCCGCGGCUGAGCGUCUAGGCCGCCCUCAAGACAGUCGGUACCUUUGUCAGCGUCCUUGACUUGGGGGUAUCCUGUCCUGCCUGCCUGCGGCCCACCACGUGGCUCCAUCAACGGCUUGGUGCGGCCCAACUUCAACAACAACACAACAAGACCCUCGCAGGGGGCCAAGCCUCGUGAGGGGGACAACGCCAAGAACCCUGAAGUAGUGGGCCUCCAUAGGAGGGUGAUACGUCUCCAACGUAUCUACUUUUCCAAACACUUUUUCCCUUGUUUUGGACUCUAACUUGCAUGAUUUGAAUGAAACUAACCCAGACUGACGCUGUUUUCAGCAGAACUGCCAUGAUGUUGUUUUAUGUGUAGAAAAGAAAAGUUCUUGGAAUGUCCUGGAAAUCCACGGAGGCACUUUUCAGAUUUAAUAAGAAUUUUUGGUGAAAUAAUUAGUGCCAGGGGCCCUAGGCCUGUCCACGAGACAGGGGGGCGCCCCCUAGGGCGCGGCCCCCUAUCUCGUGGGCCCCCUGGACCUCCUCCGACCUCAACUCCAACUCUGUAUAUUCCGUCUCGGGGAUAAAAAAAUCAAGGAGAAAGUUUCAUCGCGUUUUACGACACAGAGCCGCCGCCAAGCCCUAAUCUCUCUCGGGAGGGCUGAUCUGGAGUCCGUUCGGAGCUCCAAAGAGGGGGAUUCAUCGCCGUCGUCAUCAUCAACCAUCCUCCAUCACCAAUUUCAUUAUGCUCACCGCCGUGCAUGAGUAAUUCCAUCGUAGGCUUGCUGGACGGUGAUGGGUUGGUUGAGAUUUACCAGGUAAUCAAGUUAGUUUUGUUAGGGUUUGAUCCCUAGUAUCCACUAUGUUUUGAGAUUGAUGUUGCUAUGACUUUGCUAUGCUUAAUGCUUGUCACUAGGGCCCGAGUGCCAUGAUUUCAGAUCUGAACCUAUUUUGUUUUCAUGAAUAUAUGUGUGUUCUUGAUCCUAUCUUGCAAGUCUAUAGUCACCUAUUAUGUGUUAUGAUCCGACAACCCCGAAGUGACAAUAAUCGGGAUACUUCUCGGUGAUGACUGUAGUUUGAGGAGUUCACAUAUUCACUAUGUGCUAAUGCUUUGUUCCGAUUCUCUAUUAAAAGGAGGCCUUAAUAUCCCUUAGUUUCCGUAAGGACCCCGCUGCAACAGGAGGGUAGGACAAAAGAUGUCAUGCAAGUUCUUUUCCAUAAGCACGUGUGACUAUUUACGGAAUACAUGCCUACAUUACAUUGAUGAAUUGGAGCUAGUACUAUAUCACCCUAUGUUAUAACUAUUGCAUGAGGAAUCGCAUCCGGCAUAAUUAUCCAUCAGUGAUCCAUUGCCUACGAGCUUUUCAUAUAUUGUUCUUUGCUUAUUUACUUUUCCGUUGCUACUGUUACAACUACUACAAAAACCCAAAAACAUUUAUCUUUACUUUUGCUACCGUUACCUUUAUUAUCAUACCACUUUUGCUACUAAACACUUUGCUGCAGAUACUAAGUUAUCCAGGUGUGGUUGAAUUGACAACUCAACUGCUAAUACUCAAGAAUAUUCUUCGGCUCCCCUUGUGUCGAAUCAAUAAAUUUGGGUUGAAUACUCUAUCCUCGAAAGCUGUUGCGACCCCCUAUACUUGUGGGUUAUAAAGACUAAUUUCUGGUGUGUUGCCGGGAAGCAUAGCUCUAUUCUUUGAGUCACUUGGGAUUUAUAUCUUUUGAUCACUAUGAAGAACUUAAAAGACGAUUGAACUACUAUUUUGCCCUCAACUACGAGGGGAGGUAAGGAACUGCCAUCUAGCUCUGCACUAGAUUCUCCUUCCGUUAUUAGUAGGCUUGCGACACCUAAACCUGCUACUGCUAUGAAUUCUGAUAUGUCGCAUGUUAUUGAUGAUGCCACUUCUGCUAUGCAUGAUGAAACUACUUCUGUGCGUGAUACUACUUUGCCAUUAGGUGAAUUUCCUGAUGAACAACUUGCUAGAGUUAGGGGGAAUGAAAAUAUUGAAGAUCCUAUUACUGAUGAUAGUGAUGAUGAAGGUCCCCCCAAUGAUUAUGUAUUACCUGUUGUUCCUAAGGGUUAUGUUAUGAAUGAAAAAGCUACUAUGGAAAUUCUUGCUUCCAAUGAUAGAAAUGAUCUUAAGAAAUUAUUAGCUAAAUGGAAGCAGCAGUCUCUUAAUGCUAGAAUGAAACCCGAUCCUGCUUCUGCUACUUCACCUAUCUGUGUUACUGAUAAGGAUUAUGAAUUCUCUGUUGAUCCUGAUAUUAUUACUUUAGUUGAAUCUGAUCCUUUUUAUGGCCUUGAAUCUGAAACUGUUGUGGCACAUCUUACCAAGUUGAGUGAUAUAGCUACCCUGUUUACUAAUGAUGAGAAGUCUCGCUAUUUAUAUAUCAUGAAGAUAUUUCCGUUCUCAUUAAAGGAUGAUGCUAAGACUUGGUAUAAUUCUCUUGCUCCUGGUUGUGUGCGUAGUCCCCAGGAUAUGAUUUAUUACUUCUCUGCUAAAUAUUUCCCUUCUCAUAAGAAACAAGCUGCCUUGCGGGAAAUAUAUAAUUUUGUGCAAAUCAAAGAAGAGAGUCUCCCACAAGCUUGGGGGAGGAUUCUCCAGUUACUUAAUGCUUUGCCGGAUCAUCCUCUUAAGAAAAAUGAAAUACUUGAUAUCUUUUAUAAUGGACUAAUCGAUGCUUACAAGGACUACUUGGAUAGUUGUGCUAGUUGUGUUUUCAGGGAAAGAACAGUCGACGAAGCUGAAAUAUUAUUGAAUAAUAUGUUGACUAAUGAAAAUAAUUGGACUCUUCCUGAGACAAUUCCUAAAGCAAUUCCUGAACCAAUUGAGCCAACUCCUGAGCCUAUUCCUAAACCCACUCCGAAGAAGAGAGGUGUUUUAUUUCUCAGUCCCGAAGAUAUGCAAGAGGCAAAGAAAUCAAUGAAAGAAAAAGGUAUUAAAGCUGAAGAUGUUACGAAUUUACCUCCUAUUGAAGAAAUACAUGGUCUUAAUUUACCGCCUGAAGAACCACAUUGUCUUGAUAACCCGACACAGGUAGUAAAGGUAAAUUAUCUCUAUAGAUAUGAUAAAGUUGAAAUACCCUCUACUAAAUUUCAUAGCCCAUGCUUAGAUGAAUUUGAUGACUUUAUGGCUAGAGAAGAAAGUUUUAAUGCUUAUAUUGGUAGAGAGUUAAAGAAUAAUGCUUUCGAGAUAGGACGUGUAGGUGAUAAUCUGGCUAGAGUUAAAGAUGAACUUCACUGCGUUAGCAAAUAUACUUCUAUGGUUGCUACUCAAGCUGAGCAAGUACUCAAAGCUCAAAAUGAUUUGCUUGAUGAAUUGAAUAAUAAAAAUGACUUUGCUGUUAGAGUGGCUACUAGAACUUGUAGAAUGACCCAGGAACCUUUGUAUCCUGAAGGCCACCCUAAGAGAAUCGAGCAAGAUUCUCAGAGAAAUAAUUUAGAGGCACCUAGUUCUUCUAAAAAGAAGAAGAAGAAAAACGAUAGAACUUUGCAUGCUUCUAGUGAACCUACUGUAGACAUUCCUGAGAAUGCCAAUGAUAUUUCUAUUUCUGAUGUUGAAACUCAAUCAGGUGAUGAACAUGAACCUAGUGAUAAUGUUCAUGUUGAUGCUCAACCUAGCAAAGACAAUGAUGUAGAGAUUGAACCUGCUGUUGAUCUUGAUAACCCACAAUCAAAGAAUCAACAUUAUGAUAAGAGAGAUUUUGUUGCUAGGAAGCACGGUAAAGAAAGAGAACCAUGGGUUCAGAAACCCAUGCCCUUUCCUCCUAAACCAUCCAAGUCAAAGGAUAAUGAGGAUUUUGAGCGCUUUGCUGAAAUGAUUAGACCUAUUUUCUUACGUAUGCAUUUAACUGAUAUGCUGAAAGUAAAUCCUUAUGCUAAGUAUAUGAAGGAUAUCAUCACAAAUAAAAGAAAGAUACCGAAGCUGAAAUUUCCACCAUGCUUGCUAAUUACACUUUUAAGGGUGGAAUACCAAAGAAACUUGGAGAUCCGGGUGUUCCAACUAUACCGUGCUCUAUUAAAAGAAAUUAUGUUAGAACUGCUUUAUGUGAUCUUGGAGCCGGUGUUAGUGUUAUGCCUCUCUCUUUAUAUCAUAGACUAGAAUUGAAUAAGUUGACACCUACUGAAAUAUCUUUGCAAAUGGCUAAUAAAUCAACUGCUAUACCUGUCGGCAUUUGUGAGGAUGUGCCUGUUGUGGUUGCAAAUGUCACUAUCUUAACGGACUUUAUUAUUCUUGAUAUUCCCGAGGACGAUAGUAUGUCUAUUAUCCUUGGUAGACCUUUUCUUAAUACUGCAGGGGCUGUUAUUGAUUGUAACAAAGGCAAUGUCACUUUUCAUGUUAAUGGUAAUGAGCAUACGAUACACUUUCCGAGGAAACAAUCUCAAGUUCACAGCAUCAAUUCUAUUGAAAAAGUUCCAACUAUCAUUUUUGGAGGUUUUGAAUUUCCUCUCCCUACUGUCAAGAAAAAGUAUGAUAUUCUUAUUGUUGGGGAUUUUCAUAUCCCCGUUGAGGUAACUUAGUGUUAUUCAAAAUUCCUCCGGUUCCGUGUUAUUCGGAAUGAGUUUGUUAACAAGACUUGAUCAACCUUGUUAGUGGAUUCAUUUUGAUGAUCACGAGAUGGAUGAAACUAGAAGGCACAACCUUCUGUACCCUCUUUUUACUUUCAGUUAUUUAGAAUAAAUAAAGCAAAAAUAGUAUUAUCCGUUUGUUUUCUGAAUUAUCCGUGCAUUAAAAAAAUAGUCCGAAAAUAAAAGUGCUCCAAAUGCCCUGCAAAUUUAGUAUGAUUUUUUCUGGAAUAUUUGAGGAUUUUAGGCACUAAAAACACUGCAGGAGGGGCAAGCACCAGGCCACGAGAGAGGAGGGCCCCCCCUGUAGGGCGCGCCCCCUGUCUCGUGGGCCCCUGGUGGCCCCCUCCACUUAUGCCAGCACCCACACACUUCAUCUUCUACCCAAAAAAAAUCCCCAUCUAGCUCAAGCACGAGUUCUAGCUUGUUUUGCUGCGAUUUUCGAUCUCUUAGCUCAAAGCUCCAUUCGCAAAACUGCUUUGGGAGAUUGUUGCUUGGUAUGUGACUCCUCCUUUGGUCCAAUUAGUUUUUGUUCUAGUGCUUUAUUCAUUGCAAAUUUUUGCUGCAUAGGUGACCAUGUUCUUGAACUUGCAUGUUAAAUUUUUGAGGUCCCAAGCAAUUCCAAUGCAUGAUAUAGGCUCUAGGAACUUUUAGGAGUAGUUGCUAUCAAUCUUGUUUAGUUUUAUUCACUUUUAUUUCAAAGUUACUAAAAUUUCAGAAAUUUUCAGAAAAUGUUAAGGAGGCUCUUUAAAGGCUCUUCUAGCCAAAGCUCUAAGGAAAAACAAGACAAAGAGAAGGAAAAAUCCAAGUAUAAUCUUCCUCACUUAGCGCAAGUACGGUCAUGUGAAUGGCCGUGUGAGGAUUUCUUGAAAUAAGCCGGAAUUCAUGAAGACUUCUAUGCUUUAAUCGGGACAACAGGCCUCACCGGUUUCAUGAACGACCGAAUCGAUCAGUAUCUCUUACUCACCAAUACUUUCGUGCAAAACUUUUAUUAUUAUCCUAAGAAGUCACCGCCUGCAGUAUCAUUUCAUUUAUAUGAUGAAUUCAAAUAAAUGUCUUUAUGUCAUUUUUGCGCGGUAUGUAGGAUACCUUAUGAGGGAGAAUUAGAGGAACCCCAUCGUGAAGAUGUGGAUGGCUUCGUUAAAACUAUUGCUGUAGAAGAGCCAAAGAAGGGCUUUGAGGCAAAAGUCUCUAGCAUACACUUUCCUGUUUUACGCUACUUUGCCAUAUUUGCUAGUAUAUGAUUGAUUGGUCGUGGGAAUAGUGGAAAUUUGAGCAUUCUAGAUAUAAUUAUUCUUCAACAUGCUUUGCUGGGAGACAAUACUUUUAGUAUGGGUGUCGUCGUUGCUAAACGGCUAGCCCUGAAUCGUACAAAAGGCCCCAUAUUUGGAGGUAUCUAUGCUGCACGUCUUGCUGAACAUUUUCAGAUACCCAUUAGGCACCUUGAGGAGGAGGAGACAAAAUUACCUCCUCACAUUUUAGAUUACAAGAGCAUGGUAGCACACAAGUUUAUUGUUGACAAUGAAGAGAAGAUGCUCCUGUAUAGACUUAGAUUCAAUAAGAAACACUUUGAGUUCAUUAUUUUGCAUGCACCUCUGUUAUUUGAUUUGCUUGCAGAAAGUCGUCUUGUCACGCCGGAGGCGGUGAACAACCAUCUAGCCCAAGCUUUUACUCCGGAACCUGAACCUGAGCCAGAACCUGAAUUGGACCCUUAUCGUGCAUCAUCUGUCCAGUGGGAUCCAGAGAUGACCAGCCCAUGGUAUCCGAAUUACACCUCCCACUACACCGGGGAGAGUAGCGGCGUCCUUGGUAUUAAAUCAACUUAGGCCAAAAGCCUAAGCUUGGGGGAGUACGUAUUUCUCACCGACUUUACAUUCAUGUUCACACACUAGUCGUCGGUGCUCAUACUCUUUCAUUGUAUUAUCCAUGUUAGCUUAAAUUUCUUUUUCUAGUUUUCUUCUUGUGUGUUGGAUAAACCUUAAGAAAAACCAAAAAAAUUAGUUAGUUUAAUUUCCAUGCUUGUAGUAGAAAUUAGAAUGAAAACCCAAAAAGAUUUCUCGUUCUUCUUUUACUUGUUGGGAGCUUUCCCGUGUAAAUAGUUUUCUUUUCUUUUCUUUCUUUUGGGGGUCGAGAAGACCAUAUUGAAAAUGCUUAGUGGCUCUUAUAUGCAUGAUUGUUUAUUUAAUUCGGAGCCCAUAUUACUUGUCUUCUCUCUUGAGUUGAAUGCUUGCAGAUUCCAGCUUAGUCCAAUGCACGUGCACUCUUAUUAUUAUACACAUCGUUCGGUCGUGCAAGUGAAAGGCAAAAAUGAUGAUAUAUGAUGGACUUAUUGGGAUGAGAAAAGCUGGUAUGAACUCGACCUCUCUUGUUUUUGUAAAUAUGAUGAGUUCACCAUUCCUGAGUCAGCUAUUAUGAAGUAAACAUAUUUGCAAUGACAUUUAGAGAUUAUAGUUUCUUGUGCCAUGCUUGAUUAGCUAUGCGUUAUAAUGGUUUACCUUGCGUGCCAACAUGCUAUUAGAAUGAUUAUGAUGUGGUAUGAUGAGAUGGUAUCCUCCUUUGAAUGUAUUAAGUGACUCGACUUGGCACAUGUUCACGCAUGUAGUUGAAUCAAAUGAACAUAGCCUUCAUGAUAUUUAUGUUCAUGGUAGAUUAUAUCGUACUCAUGCUUGUACUUGGUGUAAAUUAAUUUUAAUGCAUGUUUACGACUGUUGUCGCUCUCUUAGUUGGUCGCUUCCUAGUCUUUUGCUAGCCUUCACCUGUACUAAGCGGGAAUACUGCUUGUACAUCCAAACUCCUCAAACCCCAAAUUUGUUCCAUAUGAGUCCACUAUACCUUCCUAUAUGCGGUAUUUACCUGCCGUUCCAAGUAAAUUUGUAUGUGCCAAACUCUAAACCUUCAAAUGGAAUUCUGUUUUGUAUGCUCGAGCAACUCAUGUUUCAACUAGGGCUGCCUAUAUCUUCCAUGCUAGGUGGGUUAUUCUCACAAGGAGUGGACUCCGCUCCUCAUUCACGAGAAAGGUCCGGUAACCGGGAUGCCCAGUCCCAUGACCCAAAAAGAUCAAAGCAAAUCAAAAUAAUUAAACAAAACUCCCCCAGGACUGUUGUAUGUUGGAGGCACUCGUUGUUUCGAGCAAGCCAUGGAUUGAUGCUUGCUGGUGGUUGGGGGAGUAUAAACCUUUACCAUUCUAUUUGGGAACUCCCUAUAAUGCAUGUAGUAUGGAAGAUACAGCCAUCUCAUAGUUGUUGCGUUGACAGCAAAAGUAUGCCGCUCAAAAUGUUAUUCAAUCUCUAUUUUAAAAUCGAGCUCUGGCACCUCUACAAAUCCCUACAUCCCUCUGCGAAGGGCCUAUCUAUUUAUUUUUAUGUUGAGUCAUCACCCUUCUUAUUAAAAAGCACCCGCUGGAGAGCACACUGUCAUUUUCAUUCAUUACUAUUGGUUUAUAUUGGGUAUGACUUGACUGGAUCUCUUUUACCAUGAAUUACAAUGUUUAGUCAGUCCUUGAUCUUUAAAGGUGCUCUGCAUUUAUGUUUUGCAGUCUCAGAAAGGGCUAGCGAGAUACCAUUUUGUUAUAUCAUGUUAUGAUUAUUUUGAGAAAGUGUUGUCAUCCGAGUUUUAUUAUUAUGGCUCGCUAGCUGAUUAUGCUAUUGAUAUGAGUAAUUGUGAGACCUAUGUGUUCACUACAAAAAAAUACACUUCCGUGAUGAUACGUGUUUGUCACAGUAGGUCGCGUUUUUUGUCAUGCAUGUACAUCCAUGAUAAAUUUAUGACAGAAUCAAGAUAGUCAUACCUGUGCUAUCGUAGAAGUGUUCCAUGACAUUACCAGAAUUAUCAUCACGGAAGUGUCCACUUCCAUGACGAUAAAUCGCGCGUCACAGAACUGCUUUCAUCAAGGGUGACCGACACGUGGCAUCCACCGUAAUGGAACGCUGUUAAGCUAUCGGGUCGGGUUUUUGGAUCUGAUAAUCCGUUAACAGCCCCGACCAAUGGGGAUUUUCCACAUGUAAAAUCAUCAUUUGCUGGAGGAAACACGUGUCGGCUCACCGUUUGGACAGAUGUCAUCCACUCAUUGGACAGAAGGCGUCUAUGAUACAUCGACACAUGGCACGGCCCAACAGAGGCCCAUUCGUGUGAAAAGGCCGGCCCGUUUGACUUGGUCAAAAGGUGGCGGCCCGGCCCAUGGAAAGCCUGUUAAAGGCCUGUUCGCAUAUAGCCCAUUUACAGCCCGCUAACCCAAGGCCCGUUACACCCUAUCCGAAUUAGGCCCAGUAGCGUCAUCUGGGCCAUCCAAUAUGAUUUCAGCCUGUUUUUACUUCUGGCCCAUGUUUGGCCCAUGACGUCUUUCGACCCAUAUGAGGCCCUAUGUAACUCUUGGCCUAUUAACGGGCUGUGGUGAAACUGGCCCGCAAUGAACAGUGUAUCACUUUACACCCACUAACGGCCCGUGGUGAAACUGGCCCGCAAUGAACAGUCUAUCACUUUACACCCACUAACGGCCUGUGGUGAAACUGGCCCGUAAUGAACAGUGUAUCACUUUAUGCCCAUUAAAGGCCCGUUAUUCAGUUGGGCCGUUUCCAGCAAAUGUUAUCUUUCGGCCUUCUCAGAACCCAUUUAUUCUUGGGCUCAUUUCUAGCAUUCGUUUACUUACGGCCCGUUACUGUCAUUUUCUGCUUGUGGGCCAAAUUCAGGCUAUGGUUACAUCGGCCCGUUUGUGGUUCGUUAAUACGUUCGGCCGUUUUCAUAGCGUCAUCAAAUACGGCCUAUUAACGAUGAUCCGUUAUGGUCAUAUGGCCUGUAUAAGGCCCAUUGAUGAUACGUCCCGUAGAAGGCCCAUUGUUUCUACGACCCGUAGAAAGCCCAUUGUUUCUACGGCCCGUAGAAGGCCUACUGUUUCUACUACCCGUAGAAGGCCCACUGUUUCUACGGCCCAUAGGAGGCCCAGUGUCACUACAGUAAAUAUUAGCCCAUGGUUAUUGUGGCCUAGUUUUAAAAAGAACUGCACUGACUACAAGCAAACAAAUAAACAAGACAACAAGGAAAUAAAUAAGCAAGCAACUUAUGCUAGCCUAUCACGGCUGUUACACAUAUUACAUCCACUGGGCAUCAAAGUUCGCCACCAGUGCAAAUAUAGGGAACACAGCAGCAUAUCAUAUACACUGGUUGUCAAAGUUGGCGACUAGCGCAAAUAAACGCCGCAGCAAAACAAAUCCAGAACUGAAACCACUUCAGAAGAUCUCAAGAAACAAUAUCCUAGGUACCCAUAAUGCUAGCAAGAUGCUUAGCAAGCUUAUUAACUUUCUCUUGUUUGGCGCUUAAAUCCUCCAGCGCUUGCUGUUGCACCAGAAAAUAUGCAUCUGAAUUCUGCAGGGACUUCCUCAAUCCUUCAGCUUCCUGUCACAGCACAUUUGAUAGAUGUCUUUCAACUUGAAGUUGAGACUCAAGAAGACAAACUGAUUCAGGCAGCGAGUUUGAAGAGCUUGUGCCAGCAGUAGUGGCCAGUAACUCGAACACUACAUCAAGACAGGACUUUUGGGUUCCCUGACUGUCGUCAAGAUAGUUUUUAUCAGCUUUCUUGGAGACCAACAGGGAUGUAUCACUAUCUUGAACCUUAUCUGCAUUACUUCCUUUACCAUUGGAUAAACUGUUCUCCAAUAUUUUGUCUGCAUUCUAAAAUAGAAACAAGCAGACACAUCACAUGUUUACCAUGUUGUAUAUGAAACUCAUUUUGGUAAAUGAGUUCAGUAGUAAAGUGGACAGGAUAACAGCAUGAAACAAACAUAUAUCUAUGUGCCAUGGUCACUUUAUGGUCUAUAUCAUUCUAGUUUUUGUUGCCAAAUCAAGAUAGAGGCACAGUUCAAAUAAUAUUUGUUCAAUACAAAGCAGAAUAGACAGAAUAUAAGUGUGGGUAACUAUAGAGCAAUAACAACACUUGUAAUGUGCAUGACAUGAGAACAUAACUGUUUAUUCAAUUGAAACUGAAAUCAACAUAGAGCAGGUUACAACAACAAACCAGUUAUAGAAACAAGUUUAAAACAUACCCGUUGCGCCAUUGGAGUUUCAAUUCCACCCUUCAAAUUUGAAAAUAGUUGGUAUGAGUAAAUACAGUAAUGCAAGAGCAAAGGAGUAUGAACCGUAGCUACAGAACCUGACCUGAGAACAAAUCUUCUUCUCCUUUAAGCGUUGAGUUGGGAUUCGGAGUGAUGGUCCUCGUGCUUUGGGCACUACAGUUCCCUUACUAACCGCUCGUGUUUGGGUGCUCUGUGGUGGAGACGGUGCUGUGUCAACUGGAACUGGGUUACUAUCUGCCGGGGUUGGGGUUAAAAGGGGUGUAGCUGGUUCUUUGUCCAACUGGGUAGGGGUACAAUCUGCGAGAGUCUGGGUUAUGUGUGGUGGAUCUGGUCCUUGGGUAAGUACAACCAUGGUUCUAUCUGCAUCAACUGGUAGCACUAUCUUUUUUGAAGACCGUGUUGUUACUCCCUUAGAUACUGCCAUCACGCUCUCUAAUUAAAAUGGCUGAUAAACAAGAAAAGUAAUUGAAAGUAUAGACAUUGUAUGAUAGACAGGUGCAAUGGAUAGUGGGGAAUAAAAGAGGGCAUGAAAUAAUUCAUAUUUAUGUUGUCUAACCAAACAUGAUAGCAUGACACAAUUUCACAUAUAUGAUGGCUAACUAAACAGGAUAGCAUGACACAAUUUCACAUUAUGAUGGCUAAAUAAAAAAGAUGGAAAGACAUAGUUCAAAAUAUGAGACUAUGUAAACAGGAUGACAUGACAUAACUAUAUAAUGUGUUUAUUAAAUAGGUUGGCAUGCCAUAAUUCACAUACAUUCAUGGAUAGAAUGCCAUAAUUCUAAAUAUGAUGACUGUAAAGACUAAAGAGGAUGAGAUGAUAUAACUAUAUGAUGUCUUUAUUAAAUGGGUUGCCAUGCCAUAAUUCAGAUAGAUGAUGUGUAUGUACUAUGUAAACAUGAUGGUAUGAUAUAAUUCAAAUAUAUGAUUUAUAUAGUAAGCAAGUAAGCAUAUGACAAUCUAUAUAUGAUGUAAAAACUAAGCAAUGCAAGACAACAUGCAUGACAUGGGUAAUAUAACCCUGCCAAGUUUGAGCAUAGACCUCAGGGGGGAAAUAGGACUGGUCAUCAGUCUCUGUAUCCUCCUCUCAGGAGCUCUCUGUAGCCAGCAAGAUGUCUGCUUCAGCAGGUAGCAUUGUCUGCUCUGAAUACCUUGUUUUCACUCCAGAUACUUCCAUCACCGCUUCAAAUGGCUGAUACAUAGGAAGAGUAGUUGAAUAUACAAACAUUGUCGACAAAUGGAACACGUAAUACAAAAAAAUGAUAGGAUGAUAUAAUUCACAUACAUGAUGAUUGGCUAAACAGCAUGGCAUUGCAUAAUUCACAUAUAUAAUGCCUUUGCAACAAGAUAGCAUUGUAUAAUUCACAUAUAUAAUGUCUUGCAACAAGAUGGCAAUGCAUAAUUCACAUAUAUGGUAAUUAGACACUGAACAGGUGGCAUUCACACAAAGCAUGUCUAAACUAAUCAAAUGACAUAGCAAUGCAAGACACCAUACGCACGAUAUGAGCAACAUAACCCUACCAAGUUAGAGCAUACACCUCGGGGGGGGGGGGAUAUGACUGGUCAUCUGUCUCUGAAUCCUCCUCUGAGGAGCUAUCCGUAACCAGCGAGAUAUGCGCUUCGUCAGAUAGCAUAGUCUGCUCAGAAGACCUUGUUUUCACUCCAGAAUUUGCCAUCACCAUGUCAAAUGGCUGAUGCACUACUACAAAAAGGGCUAUAGAUGGAAUGGCCACUAAUGGCGCUCCUGUGAUGUGGUGCGCCAUUACUAUAUUCUAAUGGCACACCAUGUAUCAGUGCGCCAUUAGUAAUAUAUUACUAAUGGCGCACCUGGUGUGUGGUGCGCCAUUAGUAGUUCUGAAAAAAACAUAAAUUUUUUUUGUUACUAAUGGCGCACCGUUGCAUAGUGCGCCAUUACUAAUUGACAUAGUAAUGGCGCACCACAUCCGUCGUGCGCCAUUAGUAGUUUUAAAAAAAAAGUAAAAAAAAAAAUAAAAUUUUUUUGUUACUAAUGGCGCACCAUGUCUCGGUGCGCCAUUACUAGUUUUAACUAGUAAUGGCGCACUUUCCACUGGUGCGCCAUUACUAAGUUUUUUCAAAAAAAAUCAAAAAAAAUAUCAAUUUUUUUUAUUUUUUUUGAAAACUAGUAAUGGCGCACUGUGGGUGUGGUGCGCCAUUACUAGUUAAACUAGUAAUGGCGCACCACCCCACGGUGCGCCAUUACUAACUUGCCCCAACACCGAAUGCACCCCCCCUGUGGAUCGCCUUUUCAGUUUAAAAGAAAUAAAAGAAAAUGAUGGAAAUGUAAAAAAAAUAAAAAUAAUAUGUUUCCCAUGUGAUAUGUGCUCUAGUUUUUGGGAAAAUUUACAAAUAUGAAUUUCAACUUUAUUUGCAAAAUCUCUCUGGAAAUUUGUAAAAUGGGCAUAACUUUUGCAUACGAACUCGGAUGAAAAAGUUUUUUAUAUGAAAAAUCAUCUACUUGAAAAGUUACAUCCAAAUUUAACUAGGGGAACCCCGUUAAACAUUUUCAAAAUCCCCAAAAACCUAACAGAAAAAAAGUUACGGGGCUUUCAAGAUCUAGCGGCAAAAAAAUUCAAAAAAUUUCAAACUUACUAGUGGCGCACCGUGGAAGUGGUGAGCCACUAGUAACAGAAAAAAAAAUUGGUUUUGAAUUUUUUUUGAAUUUUUUUUUUUCAAAAAAUGAUACGUAAUAUGAUCGGGAAGUUUGAAAUAUUUUUCAAAAUUUCAUCAUAGUCAUGAACAUGAACAAAGUCCUAGACAUCAACGAGGUAUAACAGGAUUGAUAUGCUAGAUAUAUCAACAAGUGCCUGUGAAGUGAGCUGUUGCUGGGGUUGGAUAGAACUUUGAAGUUAAGCGUGCUUGGGCUGGAGUAGUGUGAGGAUGGGUGACCUUUCGGGAAGUUUGACCUAAGAUUAAGCAUAUUGACCCGAGAUUAAGCCAUAGUGAACUGAGAUUAAGAAAAAUUUGAAAUUUUUUUUAAUAAAAAUUGGGAAAAAAAAUUUAAAAAAAUUUCUGAAAAAAAUUAAAUUUUUUUUUGAAAAAAAAUGUUACUAAUGGCGCACUUCUAUGUGGUGCGCCAUUAGUAUACCAGAUACUAAUGGCGCACUUCUAUGUGGUGCGCCAUUAGUAUACCAGAUACUAAUGGCGCACUUCUAUGUGGUGCGCCAUUAGUAUACCAGAUACUAAUGGCGCACCGUGGGCUAUACUAAUGGCGCACUACAUGGUGCGCCAUUAGUAUACCAGAUACUAAUGGUGCACCAGUGGUGCGCCAUUAGUAAAAAAUACUAAUGGCGUGCUAGUAAUGGCGCACCGGUAGUGCGCCAUUAGUAGGCAAAACCGGUGCGCCAUUAGUAGGCCUUUUUCUAGUAGUGAUGCACACGAAGAGCAGUUGAAUGUACUAACAUUGUUGACGAAUGUAAUAUGUAACGGAAAAAAAGAUGGCCUGAUAUAAUUUACAUAUAAGAUGACUGGCUAAGCAGGAUGGCAUUGCAAAAUUCACAUAUAUGAUGCCUGGCUAAACAAGGUGGCGUUGCAUAAUUCACAUAAAUGAUGAAUAAACUAAACAGAUGUCAUUCGCACAAAGGAUGUCUAAACUAAGCAGAUGGACAUAUUUGAUGUAUAAAGUAAGCAAUGCAAGACACCAGAUGCAUGAUAUAACCAACAUCGGCAUGCCAAGUUAGAGCGAAGACCUCAGGGGGUAAAUAGGAGUUAUCUUCUCCAUCUGAAUCCCCCUUAGAACAGAUAUCUUCCUCUCAAUUACAAUCCGAAAUGCGUGGAGGGGGGGGGGUGCCUUUGCGCCUACCAUGGAGCGACGUCUGCAUGAAAUUAUAUUGCCACACAAGGCUCGUCUCUUUUGCUCUACAUGUUCAGUUCCAUUGUUUACAAUAACUGUCAUGCAUAGGAAUAAAACAUAGUGAGAUUAUGUAAGGAGUGCAUGCAGAAAUCCAGAGUGAUGGUAGCAACCUAUGGAUAGACCCAAAACCAAUAAUAGCAGGCAGAUAAUGGCUUUAGUUAAUAAAUACAGAUAAUGGCUUCUUUACUGUUUGUUUCCCACCCAUCAUGAAACUCAUAGUAGACACCGGAGAUUAACCAGAUAGUAGAUAGAUACUAUUGAUAGCGGCCCCGAUAUGUACCCCACAACCAUUUAAAAACUCAAGUUUGACCAUUAGUUUGGAGCUGACUCAGAGUCUAAUUGGUGAACAGGACGAUAAAGUAGGAUGUAAUAUUAAGCGAUGCAUAACGUAAGCAGACACGAAAGAGUGCGACCUCUCUUGCGGACCCGUGUAGUCCUUGAGGUCAUCUGCUCUGUUGAUGAUGGUAAUGCCGUUUUCAUGGCUUCCAGCGGCGGGGAAGAAGAUGUGAGGCGGCGAAAGACAGUCUGGAGGCCGGAUCCCUGCUCUGCUGGACCCUUCUAUCGUUGGAGUAGCUGAGCUGGGGUGGACGACGGCGCAGCAGGACCGGGACAAACCACGCAAGGUUUUCGUUGACAACUAUCUAUAAGAGAAGUAAUUUUGUAAGGGAUCGUUUGAAUUUGAGGAUUCCAACAAUGCAGGGAUAGGAAAUAGAUAGGAAUAGGAUAGGAAUGCACGUGCAAAACAGAGAAUUUAAAAACACAGGAUUUCUGCCAAUCUGGGUGUUUGAUUCACAACAAUUGGAAGAUCACAGGAUGCAAAGAAGCAUGGUGAGAUUAAGUCAAACCAGAAGAAAAUGUACGGUUAUAAUGCUAUUAUGCUACUAUCUCUUAGUCUUGUGCUUCAUGAAUAGGAAUUUGAAAAGGAGGACAAGUGAAAAUUAAAAUUCCUAUAUUUUUUCUUUCAAGGAGACACAAAAGGAACAAAUCCGUGUGCUGAGUGGACAAUAUAUAUAACAUGUAGAGUAAAAAAGAGAUGCAACAAGUGUACAACCUCUUUGGCGAAGCCAUGUCGAUCUCAGCGUGAUUGGGUUGGCCAGUGAGGAUGCUCCGGCUGACUUUGCUGUCGGAGGAGGGGAAGAAGAUCUUAGGCGUCUGGAGAUGGAGCCCGAGGUACUGCUCCACUGUGAUGGAGGGUUUCAUCGUUGGAGCAGCUCUGGUGAGUUGUACAACGCCGAGGCUGAAGCAGGACAAGAGAGACAAUGAACAACGUUAACCUGAGUGGAAUUCUAAUAGCAUCUCCAAUACAUGACGUAAAAUACAUAACCACAAAGUGCUAGAUGUAAAAUACAUCAGCCGCUCAUCUCUGAACUUAACUUUCGAAACUGAACUUAACUGUCGAAAUUGAACCUGAUGGUCGAAACUGAAUUAUGCUGUCGAAACUGAAUUUUGCUGUCGAAACUGAACGCACUAGCAAGGUGAGGCUACACGUCAGUUGAUUUUGUAGCCGUUGGAUACGAAAUCAAGGGCCUGCGGUUCAUCUUCAACCUCCACCCCCUAAGCCGCCAGCCACCACCGGCCAAACAGCAGCCCCCCGCCGCCCGCGGCCGGCGGUGCGCCGCCCCGCUCGCCCCGAAAACACUCCCCACCGCCGGUCCGCCGCCGCCCCGGCCAUCCCUCUAGGCCCCCCCGUGCCGAGCUUUUUCUCCGGCGAUCCCCAUGCCACCGCCCCGCCAACGCCCCGCCACCGCCGGCGACCACCGCCCCCAUUCUGAACCCUAAGAUAGAUAGUGGGGUACCUCUCCGGCGAGCCCCCUCCCUGCUGCGGCUGGUUCUUCCUUCACCCCGGCGAGCCCACCCCUUGGAAAUCGACUGACCCAAAAGUCGAUUCAGUUGACUGAAGUGUAGCCAAAUCGGAGCAGCAUCACAAGCAAGAGCAAGAGCGAGCGCAGUAGCGCGAGCAAGAGCAAUAGCAAGGGCAGACCAGGCAGGGGACCAAGAGCAAGAGCAGAGCAGCAGCGCGAGCGAGAGCUAAAGCAGCAGCAGCUCCUACUGAUGUGGACGUCGUCGCCGAGGAAGCGAUGCCGUGGAGGAAGUGGCCGGAGAUGCCGCCGUGGAUGGAGCCGCGCCAUGUCGGCUCGGGACCGAGCGCCGACAGCACCGUGAGAUCGAAUCAUGAAGAAAAUGCGGCGAUUAGUGUACAACCUCUUUGGUGGCGCCGAUUAGGCCGCAGCUUCAUCUGAGGAAACGGUGAUGAUGAUGCUCUUCCGGUGGUGCAGGUGAAGACGGUGGUGUGGGAAUGGAGGUGGCGCGAAAGACGAGGGGAACGUCGGGCACCUCCUUGGAGGUGGAGGACGGGGUGGCUGAACCGGCGGGACGAUGAGAUCGACGACGGAUCCUCAUCCCGUACGGUGGAUGAGGGACGUCGAGGUGUUGCUGUGGACGACGUCGUCGGGGAAGAAGCUCCGGCUGGGUGGCGGAUGGAGCAGGGUGUGGGGUUUUGUUGCGGGUUUUUGCGGCCUCGGUGUACGAAUGGGUGGGCGGAUGGGAUGGCAGUGGGGAACCAUGGCUUAGAGAUGCACUUGUCCGAAAUGUGGGGUAAGUUACGAAAGUACCCCCCACCGAUUUGAGGUGGUUCUUUCGGUUCAGGGGUACCACAGGCAUUUCGUGUGUCGGGAUUUCACAGGAGGUGGGAGUUUUCGCGCGCGUUGUAAUUUCAGAAUAGCAAGGCGCGGGUCGAGAUGGAGGGAGUUGUCGGAGCACAAUGAGACAAAGAUAUAUCUUAAAUAUUUCGGGCUAACAAGGCGCGGGUUGAAAUUUCCGGACAAGCCUAACGUGUACUAUACCAAAUCAAUGCGCACUACAAAUGUCAUUCAAAACUUUGAAUUCAUGUUAUGUUCAAUUAAAAUAUUUCGCUACGUGUAUAAUGCAUGCAACCUACUACUCAAAUGAACGUUUUAGUGCAUUCCAAACGUAUAUACUACCGCUUCAAUAUGAACUAAAUUUGAAUAAGAUCUAUAGUAAUGAUUGUUGUGAAGUCAAAGCAUUUGAAUUUGUUUCUCUGUUUUAGUAAGAUCUACAAUCAUCAUUAUUGUCAAGUUAAACCAUCAUUUGUGUAUUAUCUUCACAGCACACCACAUGAUCAGUAUCGAGUUACAUCUGAACUAUGUGUACUAUAUGAACUCGAACUAGAUUUUUUGAAUCCACUUUAUUUUGAUUUCAAAUCACAUUACAUUUCUAGCUCUAGCUAAAUCUUCAUAAUCUAAACCAUGUCUCAUAUGUAUAAUGUGUUUAUCACAUUAUGUAUGGUGCCCCCCCUACGCCUACAAGUAUUUAGAUGUGAGUUGCAAACACCACACAUUACCACAAAUUCAAAUAAAAUGUGAGAAUGUUCGAUAUAUAGUAUUGUUUAGAUUGCUCGAUAUUUAGUUGUAAGCUGCAAGCGCUGCACAUUAUCACAAAUUCAAAUAAGAUGUGAGAGUGUUUGAUGUAUAGUAUGGUUUAGAUUGUUCGGCAUUUAGUUGUGAGUUGCAAACGCCAUGCAUUAUCACAUUAUGGUAUAACAUGUGCACAUCACGUGUAUCACCGCUAUAUUCAUGCAUGCAAUGUUUAAAACACUAUGAUCUCCUAUUCAAAUAUAUGAAUUCGCUUUCAUAUCAAAUUAUGAUCUUUGUUAGUCUCUUACACCCACAUAGUCCUCUAACCUUUGUAGCUACCACUAACUUUCUCUCGUGCAUGCACACGCCUUGCUCGCCCUCCCCCUCCCUCGGCAUUCUAUCCACCAGGCACAUUCAUUUUUUCCUUUAGGUCGUUCUCCCAGAGUCUCCACAACUCCUUUCCGACACACACCGAUCGAUAAACCUCUCCAGCGAUGCCUGCCUACAGCAUACACACACAACUUCAAUCUCCUCCUUUAUGUGUCCUUGCCUCGUGUCUCUCAUAUGGUCAGGCACACGUGUAAACUCUCACUCCUCUUUUAACCGAUCUCACAACCGCACACUCCUCCCCCUAUCCAGCUAGUAGUUGGGCCUCUCGCACCACCUUCUAGCUCCAUUCUCUCUGUCCAUCCAUCUCGCUGGGCCUUAUUUGCCUCUAACAAAUGGACGUACACCGACCGAUCUCUCGCUAUACAUAUAGCUAGCUAGGUCCUUAUAACUCGUUUUUACCCACACAUCGAUCGAUCUACCUCAUUAGUUGUGUCUCUCCCUUCCUCCAACAAACAACAAUUGAUCUACCGAUCUAGUUAGGUUUGCUUACCAAACACAUGGUUCCCCUUCAUCAUCCAUGGAUGCGUCCCGACAGAUCUACCAUGCACAUGCACACACAGAAACACAUCCCCACUCUUAUUGAUAGCAUGGCAGUUCCACCCUCAGUUUGUCUAGUAGGCCUCUCCCAACAUCUCCGAGAAGCAACUCUAUCACCCAUCCAGCACUCUACCCCUCUCCCUCCCUCUCCCUCCCUCUCUCUCUCCUCUCUCUCUCUGUCCCAUCAUAUUUCCCGUACUUCAGUUAUGUAUGGAUGUCGACUGAUCUCCCUCAUGACAUAGCUGGGUCUCUCCUUCUCAACACAUAUACGAGUCGUUCUACCUCUAUAGUUAGGCCUCUGCCUACCCCUCCCCCCACCCCCUCCCCCCCACACACACUGAUACAUCAAGCGCUCUAGUCAUGUCUCGCUGCCACACACAAACUUGACAUGUGCCCUCUAAGGUUCCGGUAGGCCAGUCGCCCUAUAUCUUUGACUUGCACACACACACAUACACACACGCAAUUUCGAUGGCUCUCUUCAUCGAUCUCGCACCCACCCGUACUUGAUCCUCUCUUCGACUCUAUGAUAGCUAUGACCCCUCCCUCUCUUCUCGUGGAUUGCCCGACCCUCUAUGUAUGAUAUGGAUAGGCCUCCAUUUCACACACAUUGCAUGCAAAAUUUUGUUUGAGAUGUCAUCGACACAUAUUCCCACAAAUAAUUCACGAAAUCAACCCCCCACCCCACCCCACCCCCCACCACAAAACAAAAAACAC